rnacentral:lncRNA from 1 species
UGUUUGAAUCCACCUCUAUUAGUUCAAUUGCUUAGGUAUAUUGAAGCUUGAACACAAUGAAAACAACACUUUUUAUAAAUGAUAUCUAUCAAAAUUAAGAUGAAGAAUAACAAAUCUUUGCUCUAAAAGAAACAAGAUCCAAAGAAGACAACAUUUUAUUUUCUACCCUUUUUUUAGCUUCUAUAUAUUUGUAAUACUAAAGAGAUGGAAAAUCAACAACUUAUAGAUUCGAUCCAAGAGCUUUCACUUGUUGACUUACCAAAUGAGAUAUUACAAUUGUUACAACUUUCAAGUUGACAUUAUUGAAAUAAAGUUCCUUAAGAAUGACAUAUUCUUCUUCAAAUAGAUGACGAGAUAUGUAUUUGAUAUCAUGACUUUGGAAGAGACUCCCAAUGUUUGGUGAUUUUAUUAGAUGUAAAAACAACUCUUGAUGAUGUUUCAAAUAUUUUAUUUGAAAGAAGUUAUGAAGGCCUCAACAACAAUCAAAUAACACGGUGGUCUUCUUAUCUUAGUAUAGAAUAUUAUUAUUGGUUGAGAGGAUCCAUCAACCAUCUUCAAAGAAAACAAAUAUCAAGGUAUGUGGCAAAUAUAAUUUGUUACAUUUUGUAAUUCAUUAAUAUAUGAUGAUCACUCUUCAUAGAACUCAUGUUUAGAAGGAAAGGUAAUAUCACGGAUAUACAUAUGUAUUUUAAUAAAUAUCUAUAUGAUUAGAUAGAAGUAAAUAAAAGUAGAUAAAAAUAUGUAAAUUUCAGAAUAUCUCCUAAGGAUGUUGCUUUGACUUUAGAUAUAUUUGUAAUUGAUUGAUAGAUUAGAAAAUUAGUCAAGAAGUUAAUCAUGUGUUGAUAGCUUGCAAAACAAGCUAACUAUGUGGCAUACAUAUAGAAAUCUUAUCUUAUAAGUUAAGAUACAUGUCUUGUAAAAUCAACACAUUUUGGAAGUUUUAUAGAACAUUGCCAUGUAUUUGCUAAUUAAGUAUAUAUAUGGAGGCAAGAGUAAAGCCUUCUUCACUCUUGUCAAUGCCUUUCUAGUCUAAUCUUGUUUCAAGACUUUCUAAACUUCUUGUUUUUGGCCAUAGCCAUUCUAGUUCAAUAUUAUAUGAUCUUUGAAUAACUUUUUAGUUCUUUUCUAUGACACAAGAGUGUAUUGAGGAUUUCUUUCUUCAAAAUUGAUAUCCUUGACAUACAAUUGGCCUAAUUGAGUGAAUUGUUUAGACUAUCAAACAUAGAUUAUGAAAGUAUGGAUUACUUCAUGACAAUCAUUAUAAUUAAAACUUAAUAUUUUUGUAGAUUUCAAUAGAUUAUUGUUUCAAUAGACAAGUAUCUUUAAUAUCUUAUAGUUCUUACUAGUUAUUGUAUGGAUAGGAGCCAAUUCUACCUAGUUCAGUAUGUAAGAAGCUAGCUCCAAUUGUGGACUUAGAUGAUCUUUAUGUUUGAACUCAAUGUCUAUAUGAUUAAAUAGAGUUCUUUGAAAAAGCCAUGCCUAUGGCUAUGAAAAACUUACCUAUUGGUCAACAUCGAGAUACUUUAUGAUAUGCUUGCAUUUAUAGUAGAGCUUAUUAAACCCACUUGUAAAAAUUACCUAAAAAAGAUUAUGUGUAUUUGCAAUAUGAGGUACAUAUAAUACUUGAUAUUAAGGUAGGGCACACAAUUUUGCAUAUAAAGAAUGUAUUUCUUAAUAGUAUUUUGUUAUUAAAAGGCAAAGAUGGACAAGAGUGUUGAAAACAUUCAAAGAAUUGUACUCCUUAUCAUCUUCCUAUUGAUGAGUACAAUGUAUUGUGUUUAAUGAUCUUUGUUUAUAUGAUAGCUAUCAUGUGAUAUAGCAUCGAGUAUCAAAUCUCAUCACAUGUAUGUAAUUUAGUUUGGUUAAUGGUUUUUCAUCCAAUAGUAGUUUUUUUGUUAAUUGACUUAUUCAUGUUAAUUAAAAUUUGAGUACUUAAAUAAAGAAAAAUUCUUGACUUAACAUUCUUGUCAAGUCAAGUCUUGUGAGUGAUUUUGAGAGUUAGAGAAUUUGUUGUAAGGGUUUGUUGGCUAUGGUGUUUUAGCCAUUUUAAUAAAGUUUUAAGGUUCCUCUUAUUUCUACACUUGCAUUCUUAGAUUCUCUCUUUGUAGUGUGAGAGAUAGCUUGAUUUAGUUUGGUAUAGAUUUCCAAUCUUUCUUUGAAAGUGUAUUGGGUGUACAUUUGUAUUUGGUUUAAAUUACAUACUUUAUGAUUGGUUGAUAGCACUCAAUGUAUUGUGCAUAAUGACCUUUGUUUAUAAAAUAAUCUUGUUAAAUUGUGAAAUAGAUAAAUUACAAUAAAACUUUGACUAAUGAAUACACUAUUGUAUCAUUGAAAGAAAGAAAGUAGACAAUUAAGAGUUACAUAUAAAGUAGAUAAAAAACUUUUUCUACUUACACAAAAUCUAGAAAGUUUUAAAUGAAGAUUAAAACAUAAGAAAGUUAUUAAUAAGAUUGAAAAUGGCUUUAAAUUUUCUUCUAUUUAUAUUAUCUAUCAAAAAAGUCUUAUAAAAGCUUCUUGAAAAAUGUAAGGCUUAUGGUUGAAGUGUUAUGUUAUAGGUUUCUUCUAAUAUAACUUUCUAAAAGGAAAAAAUAUAUAGAAAAAAUUUCAAUAGUUAUAUAGGAUAUCUAUAAAAAUCUAAAUAUAAUCUAUAUCUUUGAAAUCUUAAAUCUUAAACCUUAAACCUUAAUUUUAAUGUAAAGAAGAUUUGUUAAUUACUUUAAAUUAAUAUUAGAUAAUAAUUACUCUUGUUGGAUAUUGAUCUAUAAGUAUCCAUCUAAAAAUACUAUUUUUUGUAUUGAAGUUAAGAAGUUAUAGUAAAAAAAUUAUGUUAAGAUUAAUUUUACACCAAUAUUUAAUUUGAAUGAGAUUUUAUAAAAUUCAACUUUAAUAUGGAUUAUUAAGAUUGAAUUUUAAUUAAAAAAUUAGAAAAAAAUAAAAUAGUAAGUUGGUAAGUAAUAUAUAUUUAAGAUUAAUUCUAACAAAAGCAAAUUUUUAAGAACAAAAAUACUAAUAUUUUUGAUCUUACAAUGGAUAUUUGAUACUAUUUGAUUUAUCUUUCUCACUACACAUACACAUAUGACUAUUGGUCGUUAUGGUUUAAUAAUUAUUUUCUAAAUGUGGUCUAUCAUUUCAUAAUAGAAUAUAUAAUCAUACAUCUUUGCAAAUCAUGUAGCUAGUAAUGGCAUUUAUGCUUGGCUUCCUACAUUUACAAGCUUCACAUAGUAUGUCUAAUAUGGAUUUUGGAAUAAAGCUUGCUAUUGGCAAUAAUUUCUAGCUUAUUUAGCUAAGAUCCAAAUUUUAAAUUCAAAAGAAGAUCAAAAAAGCUGAAGAUUUUGUUAAUAUAUUGCCAAAUAUUUUGAAUAUUAAGAAGCCUACUUUCAUUUUUAGUAUUACACUUUUUAAUGUAACAAACUCAAUUUGAUGUUGUUUUUAGAUGAAGAUUAAUUACUAUUAAUAUCUAUAUCAAUCAAUGAAUCUAAUAACUAUAUUAAUUAUGUAACACUAAAUUUUUAGCUUUAUUGACCUACUUCUAAUAGUUAUGACUUUAAGUUGUUUUUGUCUAUUGUAUCUAGAUAAUAUAGAAUUAACUUUUUAUCUAGAGUUAUCUUGCAUAUUUUUUCUCAACAUUGAUUUUAUCUUCAUCUUCCAUAAGGUAUUAAAAUUAGAAGUAUCAAUAUUAGUAAUAAGGACUUCUUUUCUAUGGAUUAGAAUUCAUAGUUUUGUGGAAGACUACCAAAACCUAUGCAUUAUUAUCCUAAAAUAGCUCUCUUGAUUGCCAUGUAGCCAAAUGUAUUGGUGACUUAAUGCGUUUCUCAUACAUAGCCAUUCCAAAUAGAUAUUUUCUUAAAACCCUAAACCUGACAUCUCGAGACACUUCCCUUUUCUCGGUCAAGCUUAUUUACGCAUUCCAAAUUAUGGCUUCACAUCCAAACAAUCUCUGUGGUCUAGUCUCAUUCACCCACACUUGCAGUCAGAGCAAAGCCUGGAUUUGUAAUCUUCUCCAUGAACCUUUUCAGACCCAUUGAAAUACAUGAUAAAGAAUGAACUCCAGAGUUGCUGACGAUAUCUUUUUCCAAUUACAUUCGACGUUUUACCAUUUCCAUGCGUGCACAAAGUCCAGCAGUUGGAAUAUCGGGUUCUAGAUUGCUAACACGAAAGCUAUCGGCUUCUUAUGCAGAAAUUCACAUCAAAAAAAUUUCAACAUAAAAGAAUGCAAUAUAUAUAUAUAUAUAUAUAUAUAUAUAACCCACAUUAGUCCACAUAAAACCAAUGAACACGAUCUACACAGCACAACCGAAACAGAUAAUAGCGCAGUUGAUCCACAUCGUUUAUUUCCAUUUACUCCAAGGAAACUCUACACGUGUACAUCUGGAAAGGAUAGAAAAUCCACAAACAGUUGACGUAAUGAAAAUGCCAAAAUGUAUGCCAGAGCUUCUAAGGUUGAAUUAUGAUCAAAGAAUAUAUGUGCGUACGAUUCGUUUGAAUGCCUUUGUUCGAGUUAAAGUCCAAUUCACAAAUCACCUCUUGAAUGCAGAUUUCAUCUGCUCCGGACAACUCGAUGUUUCUAACCUUGAGAUCAUCCGGCAUCCCCAUGGGGUCUUCAGAACUCUAUCAAGAUCUUGCUUUGGAGUGGUUCCAAUGUACGCGUUCUCAGAUCUCAUCUGUGGUCUAGUCUCAUUCACCCACACUUGCAGUCAGAGCAAAGCCUGGAUUAGCAGGUUAAUAAUGCGAAGCACAGGGAAAGAUUACAGAACAUGAAGAGAUGAGGAUUAAUAAACUUAGAAAAUAUAGUGUUUCUAAACAAUUUUACGGUGAAAUAACCAGUACAAUCCCAGAAUUAAACACAAAGAAGACACUGAAUAAUGAGUUGGACAACCAACAUAAAACUAAAAGAUUUGAAUUUCGUCUGGACCUCCACAUCAGGCAUGCCAAGUCAUUGAGAAGUCUCACGUCAAGUCUCUGAUAUAGAUGGAUACUUAAAACUACAUGAUUAUAUCGUACCACUAGAAAAACCCGUGUUUAUCUGUAAACAAAUUCAGAGCAGAACCAGGUCACCAAAACGAGAAGGAUUCAAAUACGUACGUUCGCAGAUGAGUUACUCGUAGAUGGUUUGAGGGUACUCUGUGGCGCUAAGGGUAAGCUGUGAGAGGCAGUCAAUCCAGGUAACUGUUGAUCAAGGUCAACUCCAUGACUAUUAGAGUCCUUUUCCCGCUGCACCCGCUGCUCCUCUAAAACUUUCUCAUACCGCAAAAAAUUGGGUUGGUGCGUCGAUGAUAGUAGGCGGGCCCACAUACGAUCGCUUGUAUUUACAUGCCUCUGUUUCUCAACAGCUCUCUGUUGCAUAUCAAUUACCAACAAUCAAUUGAAACUCGACAUAACACAACAUAAGCAACCCGUUACGAAUUGCAGUUAAUGCGUAUCAUCGACAAGCUGAUACAAAUCUAAGGAUCAUGCUUGUACCAUUAGCUGCAACAUGAAAACGUCUUAGAUAGAUUAAGUUACAGAUUGUUUUCAAAGGAAGAUUUGUGCUCGGAAGUAGGAAAUUGAGAUCCAUGAAGAAAGACGAUAUCUGUACAGAGAUAGGGAUGUAGCAAUGGCGGUUGUUGACAGGACCAGCUGUAAACCCACAAAAACCAGCCAUAGCACCGUGGAUGGCACUAUGUGCCAACAAAGUGCAGUAGACGUUAUCCGAUGCAAUGCUAGGCACAGCUCGAAUCAUAUACGUUGGAUCUGCCAAACACAUCCACGUACAUUCAAAGAUUAAAAUUCCCAUUCGGCGGAUUAUAUUGCAGUAACAAAAGCCCACAGACCAUUUACAUUGGAUAAAAUGGGCAAACUGCAAAUGAAAACAGCAUUUUGCUGAAUUUAACUGGCUGCGAAAAAUCAAAAUCCGCAGUUAACUUAACCCGUUGAAAAGGAUGUUUGCAAAACCUUGAUCCAAUCAGGAUCUGCAAUUAGUACUGAACCAAACCGUUAUCAAGAUUUUACUAACUUAGAACACGGUUUAUUCAAAGUUAUCAGAUAAAAUUGGAGCAGAUGAGUUUACACAUUUUACCUAUGUAUUUCAGCGUGAUGGAUUCCUUAUGAACCUUCAAAAAAUGUUCCUGCAACAACGAAGACAUUUUCAAAAAAACUACCAACUUCUACAAAACUAGUUGGUAGUUGGCAGUGAAAAUAGAGUCAAUAACCAAACGAAAUACAUUGGGUGAUUGGUUGCCAACGAAAAAUGUUUAGUGUUGGCUCGUUUUCUAUAAACACCGUUCUGUUCUCUGACGGAAAUCAUAUAAGGUAGUAACUUAUAAAAUAAGAUGUCUAUGUAGUUUCGUUUUUCUAGCAAGAACUUUUGUAACGUAAAUAAUUACGAGUUCAUAAAAAGAGUACAAAAAUAUAAGACUAUUGCCCUGCACAGGAAGGUUCAAAACGUUGAAAACGAGAGCUUCGUGAAGGACACUAGCAUGCCUGAGGCUGGACAUACAAAAGAAAAAUGCAUCGUCCGCAUAAAAUAGAAUUAAAUAAGGGAUUAGUUAAAGAAAUAGGAGGGGAAUGGCAUGCACGUUUAACCUUCAGCCUUUGACAAAGCCAGAGACCAACGUCAAGCAGCAGGCGAUUGCCAGAAGCGUCACUCAUCUUGUCAAGAGAACUAAGGCUUUCAGCGAUAAGUUCCUGACCUGAACCUUCUGCUACAACAACCACCAUAUGACCAUUUUCCCUCAGCCUACGGUACACAAACUCAUACAGACCAUCCUCCCCUUCCAGAAAGAAAGGUACUUCCGGAAUCAAGCAGCAGUCCUGUUUUCCAUAACCGAUGGCAGAUACGGUGCAUCAGAAUCACAUCCUUCAACUACGUGGAUAAUCAAGGAAAAUAGUAUCUACUACCCAUAGUACCCAUUAUUACCAUGCAAUUAACAGAAGACGUAAUUUCAAUGUAUGACUCAUGCGGCAGACACUAUUUCAAAAAUAUAUAGACUUCUUCAAACCCAUCGAAAGGAGUCAGAUCAUUAAAAGCGACACUUAAACGAUAUUACAGAUCUGUUAGAGACACUAAUGAUUGCCAGAACUGUCAAGAAGAUAAUUACCACAUCACGACUCGCAAGAGUAGCGUACAUGGCAAUGUAGCCUGCACACAUGAACCGCAUCAAUAAAUAAUUUGAUUCCCAAACAUGGAAAACUCAAUCAUCAUGUAAAGUUCUAUCAUUGUCAAAUGUUGUAGAAAAGUCUGCAACAGAAUGGUUCGAUUCGAGUAAUGUCAGAACAUUACCACUGUAACGACCCAUGAGUUUGACCACCCCAACACCAUUAUGAGUACUUUCUGCUUCCACAUGAGCUGCAUUGAUUGCUCGUUGUGCUUCUUCCACAGCAGUGUCAAAUCCAAAGGACUUAUCAAUUAUCUGUUCAUUGAAACAAAUCCCAAAAGAGAACAAGUCAGAACGCACACGAAUGAAUUCAGGCAACAUGUGGAAAUAAGCACACAUGUGAAAAAGCGCGUCACUGUGUAGUAGGGAUGAUGUAUAGUACAUCAAUGUCAUUGUCGAUCGUUUUGGGGAUCCCCGCAACAACGACCUUCAAACCUCGCUUGAUUAUUUCCUGCAAUCAGCACUCAACUUAAUUAAGGACAAGCUUCACUGCAGCAGAGAACUAUGAAUACCACAUAGGAUACACUUAGAAACUUUCUAAAGAUUGAUCGAGCAAAAUAACGAACCUUGACAAACAAGGUGCUAAUGAAAGAACCACAUUUGCGUCUAAUUGGACCAAACUUGACACCGAAAAAAUUCCUCUGAUUCUGAUGAUUCGUUUAAAGGAUGCAACUAGGAUAGAUCUUUGACAUAGCUUCUCUUUCUGCAUCUUCAAGACUGCAAGCGCCAUGAAUACAGAAAACUUUGUUAAAUAUAAACAAUGCUAAGACUUACAAGUGCAAUAAGUCCAAAGUUUAACUACAGUGAACACGACACACCUCAUGAAUGGCUUCUGCACCCUUGUGAGUACCAUCUCCACCAAUAAUGUACACCUGAAGAAGUCGCACAGGUUUAAAAAGAACAUUUCUUGACUUGCUCACAACGCUUUUAGAGUAUCAGAUUGAAAAACCCUUUUAGUGAACAUCCACGUCCAGAACUUCAAGCUUUAUCUUUGUAAUCAUAGCAAUACAUUAAAUAAUAAUAAUAAUAAUAAUAAUAAUAAUAAAUAAGUAAUAAAAAAUAUAAAAAGGCUUCUACAAGCACCCUGCGUUUCACAACACUGGCAUGAAAAUAAAACGCAUUUUGGGUAUAGGAUUGAAAUAUUUUCAUUCCAGGACAUUUGCACUGCAUCUACAAUAUCCAAAGUUGAAUGUAAUAAUAUUUAUUGAUGCGUAUACCUGAUUGAUCCCACGGUUCUCAAUAGAGUCCACUAUCUUCAUCGUGUCAUGGCCGCCACGGGAGGUCCCCAAAAUGGUGCCACCUCUCUUAUGAAUGUCGUUCACCACUUUGGGAUUCAAAGUAAUUGUGUUGCGCGCAUAGAAACCUCUGUAACCUCCCUGCCAAUAGCAACAUAUCAAAAAAUCAAAUCCAAACGGAUUCCGAACACCACUUUUUCAUGAGCUCUAACCUGGAAAAGAUAGUAGUACUUAUCUAUUAAGGACAAGGCGGAAUGUAUAUGAAAACAACAGAAAGAGUAAUGUGAUAGAAAAGAAACACACAUCAAUCCCAUAAAUCUCUCGAACGCCAUAUUGAUACCAAAGUGCACAAACAAUCUCACGAAUCACAGUAUUGAGGCCUGGGCAUAGGCCACCACAUGUGACUAUACAUGCCUUCACCUCUUCCGCCCUGAAAUAAAUCUGCAAGUCCAAAGUGUAGAUUGUGAGAUCUUAUAAUAUGAAGCCUUCUAAGCAGUGAAAUCAUUGGUACUAUUAAUCAUUAGAAAUCAUAGACUGACAUGUCAACGGCUCUGCACACGGGUAAUAAUCUGUGUCUAAUGAUCGGUUAGAUCAACGAGGUUUCUGUCGCAUGAUAACCACAGAAAAAGGAGAAAACAUACCUUGUCUCUUGGCCCAGCACGUCUGAAGUGUAAGCCAGACCCAACGUUUUCCAUGUUCACUACUAUCUGUUGUAUUCCCAGAUUAAUGUUUUAGUAUGAAUCAUUAAAUUUUGAGGUUAUCUGUGCACAACUGGAAGAAACUCAAUUACAAAAUACUGACGGAUUGAUGUCAGUUGGUAAGAGUAGAUAUUCGAAAGUCAACAACUCCAAACAGAGUUGAUGUAUCAAGCUUGAACCCUACUUUGUUGAAUCCAUCUCAAAGCUGGCCAAUAAUACAAUAAGAAAGAUGUGCAAAAAAAACAUUAAUUUCACCAAAAACGAGUGAAGGCCUAAAAGUUAAAAUCUGUCAAAGCACCACUAAAAGUCCAAGUGCUGGAGAAAAACAUUGAAGGCAAGACUCGUGACUGAACCGCAACACAACUUGAUAAUUCAAAAAAUGAGAUGAACAAAUAUUUGAAUGGCUGAUAUCCCAACCAAAUUCAAAAGGCAUAGGAAACAGAGAAUCGAAGUAGUAGUUCACACUUACAUCCUUCGCAACAAAAUCGUCAUCAUCCACAAAGUAUUUCCUGCCUCAUUUUCAAUAUUCAAAUCAGUAUCAUGGUGUCUGCAUUCCUUUGGCCAUUACUAUAUACAGCUGUAAGGCUUUCGCUGUGAUACGCAUAAUAAUAGCUCCAAGAUAUAGAGGAAUCAAGCAUUGCCCAAGAAUUCAACAAAACAUCAUAAAAACAGACAAUCAACACCUUAACAUGUUAUACAUAAAGAUCAAGCUUCAAUUGAGAAGCACAGACUUGAAGAUAUCUAGCAAUUUCUGGCUUUGAACAUGUCUUUCUGCAAGCAUGCACCUGUUACUCGGAUUAAUCCAUGACGAAAACAAGUGAAAAAUUAGUGUUGGCGAAAAUCGCAAACAAGAGAUAUGAUUUCGAUCCUUACUUAACAGCAGAGUACGCUGGGUUGAACUUCAGGGGAUUCGGAAAUGUCUGUAACAAAAUAAGAACAUACAGUUAGGCGUCAAGGUCGUUAACGACACACCAUGUAAACCUGUUUCCACCCUGAUAGGAUCACUUUUAGGCAAUGGAAAAGAAAACAAGGGAAUCGAUCUUAAAUGUAUGCUGAUUUGGAAACCACUAAUUAAGAAAGAGGAUGUAAGAAGGUAUUGAGAAUUCGGUGUCCGGAUUAAGCAACUUCAUCGUGGGUCCAUUAAUGGGCUGAAUCUAAUUAAACAAACGAAAAUAAAGAUUAUGACAGAAACCACAGAAUUACAUUCGCAAAGGAUAAUCACAGAAUCUGAUACUGAGUUAGAAACUCAUGGUAGCAAAAAUAAUGGUACUAUGAAACUGGCAAGCAAGAGGUUCUUCUUUCAUCGCCGUCAAAGAAUCCAGCUUUGAAGAUAUACAGUGAGUUCAGAGUAAAAUACUAAUCGAGUGGAAAACAGGAAGAUUUAAGGCAUUUCACAAAAUUGAAACAGAAUUCUAACCUCUAGGUCUGGAAGCCAAUCAGUGAUGUGAGGAACGUCUUCAAACGUAGAGCCGCAAGCCCCCGCCUCUGACUUUGGAUUCAGAAGCUCGGAUCUGACAACGCCCCACUUUCCAGCUGCUCUUAAUUGAAUAUUGCUCACAUCGUGCAUCGGCCGAGCCCUAGAGCUACCACGACCCCGGACCCCAAAACCCAAAAAAGCACCACGACGAGGGAGGUUGGAUACAAGAGACUUAGAAUCCGCGUUGCCAUGGCUGGCAAGGGUGACAGCAGCGUGCAGGUAGUGAGCUGGAAUAGGUGCUACUGCCGCUGCCAUGACUAAUAAGACGGCAGUUAAUAUGGAUGAUUGCGAGGUACGUUGAAACCAAGCCGGGAGAAGGAAUGGGAUGGGGGAAACGCGAAUGUAGGAUUUCGUGAACUAGGGUGUCUUCUCCAGUGUGGCAGAAGAAAAAGGAAUGAGGGGAGGGAGAGAGAGAGAGACGUGAUGAAGAGGAUCACAAGGCAGGACCCAGUUUCCCAGUCUAUGGGGGGUGUGGGGGUAGGCGGUGGGUGUUGGCAAGCAAGUAAGGGGAGUGGCGGAUGAUGCACAACAGUGCAGGUGUGUCUUCGUCUUCUUCGUCGUCGUACCACAAUGAUUCUUCGCCACUACUGCAGCACAACAGCACUGCAGCAGAAGUAGGAGUAAGUGGUGUUGGAGGAGUAAGGUAGCCGACCCAUUGUCGACCACCCCCAUUACCAACCUAUAGUGUGUCUUAUUGUGCAGUUAGUCUACCAAGUUGGUCUCACACCAAUCAAAAAAAUUCUUAUUCAAUUGAUCUGAAAUAGGUUGUGGAUUGAUUAAAACAAUGUUAAGUGAGCAAUAAAUAAAAUUUAUUUAUUGUAGUUAAAAUGGAUUAAUGUGAACUAACAAUAGGUGGUAAUUGUUGGUUGGUUGGGGUGAAAUAAUAGUAUAACUAAGUACCACACUUCUCUUGAUAGCAUUAAUAGGUGUCACACAUUGUAGUUUUGUAAAAGUUGGAUUCUUGGUUUUAUAACCCACCAUUGGUUGGAAUUCGGUAACUCUAUAUGCCCUAAAUGGGUGGAAGAGAAUCUUCAAAUAAAUCAUUUAUAUAAAUUUUUUUUUUGGACCAAAUUGUGUAAAAACACUUGGAAUCCUCUUGAUUUUUAUUUCCCUAUAUGGGAGUAUUUUUUUCCAUUUUUCCACCUAUUGGAUAUAUACUAAGUUAUUGGAAAUGGAUUAUCUACCUUAGUCGAUAAUAAGGGAAGGAAGGGGAGGAACAGAAGACAGAAGCACAAUAGGGCUCUCUCUCUCUCUCUCUCUCUCUCUUGUUGCAUUUGCAUUCUUCAAUUGCACAACAAAUUCCUUGAAGUUGCUUCAACUUCAACACACUUACACAUUUAUCUAUAUGUCAUGUAGGUCACAAAAAUAGUUUAUAAUUUUAUAUUUCAUUAUAUUAAAAUUUCUCGUCUUUGUGAAUUGUAGAGAAUUUUUUUAAUACAUUCACUUAGGCAAAAUAACUUUUUUUUUUGUGGUUAUUAUAUUAUAGAAGGAAUAGAAGAGUCUAGAGCAGACAUCUACACAAGUAAUGAUAAGCUAACUAUUAUGUAGAUUGUGGAAUUUAAAUAUAUUCAUUUAUUUGAUAUUUCAUUGAUAUUUUCACAUUUAUCUACCCAAAAAGGCCACAUCCAAUGUACAUAAGUGUUUGUAUAUUGAACUUAGCAAAAAAAACAUUCAAAAUUCAAAAUUUUGUCUAAAAAUUAAUGAAUCUCAGAUAAAGUUAGUACUACUUAACAAUUUAAGAGAUAGCACAUUAAAAAAAUGACUCAUAAACAUUAUACUUCAAUAUAAUCUUUAAUAAAAAUUUAAAUUGCAUAUAUCUACACAUGCUAAAAGAAGCACUUUGUUUUUUGAUAUUACUUUGUAACAAGUAUUUAUUAGAACCAUAUAACAUAAUGAAUGGAUGAAUACAAUAUUAUCUUAUUAAAUGUUCAACUAUUUCUUCAAUAGAUUGUUAAGUACAAUCUAUAUUGUUCAAUAUGAAGUUUAAAAAAAUCCUAUUAAAUUCAAUUAAAUAAAAAAAAAUGAUCUUUUUAUUUGCUUAAAAAAUUAUUAUGAUAAAAUAAAAUAAAAAUAGAUAUAUCUAUGAAAUUCAUGCAUAUUUUUAUAAUAAGAUUGUAAGUGGUUAUAUUCAAAUUAUUAUUUUUUAUGAUAUGAAUUAUAGAAAUAAAUUAAAGUAUAUAUAUAUAUAUAUAUAUAUAUAUAUCAUAUUGAAAUAAUUAUAAUAUAUAUAUUUUAAAUGACAUGAAAUUGUUUUUUAUUUGAUUAGAGUGGAUUUGAAAUUCUUCCAUAAUUUGUUUAUUUAAAAUCAUACAAGCACCUUUAUAUUACAAGAUAAAAUAACUACCAAUAAUAUUAUAAUUAAAUUAUUAAAUAAUUUUAAAAAUAUUAUAUCAAGGAUAUUAUUUUAAUAAUAACUUUUAAAAGAAAAUAUACUCAUUUAUCACUAAAAAGAAAAAAAUUAACAAAAAAGAUAAAGAUAUAGAAUAUAAAAGAAAUAAAACUAGAUUUUAAUUAUUAUAAAGAAAUAAGAGAGUAUUGAAUCAUAACUUGAAUAUAAAGAAGGUGUUUAUAAAAUUAAAGAUAUUCUCAUUCUUGUUUUUUUCAUAUACUAGCUACAAAAAAGAUCUUGUAGAAAUCUCAUAAAAACCACAAGGCUUAUGAUCAAAGCAUCAAAUUGUAGGUUGCUUCUUAUGCAACUCUCUAAAAGUAGUAAAUUUAUGGGAAAAGCUUUAAUAAUUAAAUGAAAUAUCUAUAAAUAUAUAAAGGUAUAGUCUAAGUCUAAGAAACUUUUUUUUUAAAAUUAAAAAGAAAAUUUUAUAUAUUUAAUAUUUUAUUUAAUUUUAAUUAAUCAAAUAAUAAAUUCAUUUAUUAAAAAAUAUCAAAAAAUAUUCUUGUAUUAACUCUUAAUAGACAUAGUUUUGUAGCUAAACUAAAAAGUAAGUUAAUGAAAAAAUGUUUAAGCAUACACAUCUUUAGAUCAUAUAAAUUCAAACAUUUACCAAUAGGAAUUAAAAUUAGAAUAAAAAUAAUAAUAUUUUAGAAGAAGUUUUUAUUAAAAGCUUGUAUAUUAAAAAUAAGAAUUCUUUAGAAUUUAUCAAUUUUUCAAUAAUUAGAGCAUGCUAUUUAUGAAGAUAUUUUUUUAAAAAAUAAUAAUAAAAAAAUUAAGAAAAGAAGAUGUAAAGUUGUAUAAAUAAAAUGAAGUCCUAAACUUACAAAAACAAUCAAGAGUACUAAGUUCAAAGUGGUCUCAUGAAGAAGUAAAUAUUAAAAAAAACUAUAUAAUAUUAAAAGUAAAUGGUAGUAAAAUAAAUAAAUAUGACAUAUAUAUUAGUAAAAAAGUAUUUUUUAAUGAAGAUUGAAGAAGAAAAACCCAUUUAUGCAUCUAUUUUAACACAUAUCUAUUACAAAAUAUUAAUAUAAGUACAUAGAGGUAAAUAUAAAUAUUUUUUAAAUAUUUUUUAUUAUUAAGAAAUAUUAUUAAAAAAAUUUAAAAUUAAAUAAGACCUAAAAUUAUUUUAAAUUAUAUUAUGUAAUUUUUAAUUUUUUUUAUAAGUUUCUAAUUUUAAAAAAAUUACUAUUAAUGCAUUUUAUAACUUAGAUGCUUAAUUCAUAAGCUAUUUGAUUCUUAAAAUUCUUUGACAUAGCCUUUUUACAUGCUAAUACACAUAGAAGCAAGACAAAACCAUCAUUAAUCAUGCCAAUAUCUUUCUUAUAAUUUAUUCUUAGCUUAAGUCUUUCUAAUUCCUUAUAUUUAGAAACCUAUAAUUUUGGUUUUUUAUUAUCUUAUAGAUAUAUAUAUAUAUAUAUAUAUAUAUAUAUAUUGAUACAUUUAUCUGUAUUUAUAUCUUUUACACCAAUUCAAUGUUUUUUUUUAACAAGCUCUUGUACAUAUGCUUAUUUUUGUUUUUAUGAUUGUGUAAAUUAUGCAUCUUCAUCCUAACAUAUUUUCGUUGCAUAAGUUUUUUUUUUUUUUUUUUUUUUUUUUUUCCCUCUUCAUAUUGUGGUUUUCUUUUCUUAUUUCUAUAAUUUUUAUUUUUUUAAUACUUUUCUCUAUAUUAUAAAUAAAUUCUUAACAGAUAGUAGUUUCAAUAUUUUUUUUUCCGAAUUCUUAUAUGUAUUAGACAACUAUUUUUUGGAAUUGGCAAUAUGUAACAUAAUCUUGUAAAAAAAUUUAAAAUAGAUUUAUAAACUUACUAUUUUUUCUAAAUACAUAAGUAACUUAAAAUCUAUAAUAAUUUUUAAAAUUUUAUUUAUAUUAUAUUAUAUAUUAUUUAAUUAUUAAAAAAAUUAAAUAUAUCAGAUAAAUAUAUUUCGAAAAUGAUAUCAGAAGUUGACAUAUCAUAUUGAAUAUAUGACUAAAGAACCUUCAACUUAGCAAAUUAUUUAUUAAUGACUUACAAUUGUUUUAAUUUUGUAUCAUAUCUAUGUAGUUUUAUUUUUAAUAUUCAUAACAAAUUUUUCAUAAAAUUUAAUAAUUUUAUUAUUUCUUUUAGUAUAUACAUAAUUAUGUAAGUUUUUCUAUUUUUUAUUUAUUUUUUUAAAUAAUUAGUUAGAAUGUUAUAUAUGAUAAUAAAAAUAAAAAAAUGAUUACAAAAGAUAAAUAUAAAAAAAAAAAAAACUUAUAAACCAGAUUCUAAUAUUGAUUUUUAUUGUAACUUAAGUUUAUUUUUAAUCUAGAAAAUAAUCUUAUUCAAUUAUCUUAAAGAUAGAAUACAAAGAUUGAUAAUUUAGUAUUUAGUUUGUCCUUUGAAAAUAAUCAAAUGUUAUAGCAUUUAUCUUAUUGACAUUAUAGAGGAUUCUAUAUAGAUUUAAAGUUAUUGGUUGUAUGACAACAAAAAAAACUAUGUUUACUUCUCAAAAUACAUGAAGAAAAAAAAUUGAGUCAAUUUUAAUCCUCAAAUAUGUGUAGCUAUUGAUUGCAAGAAGAUAUGUAUAUAUAUAUAUAUAUAUAUAUAUAUAUAUGGUAAAUUUUGUAAAUAAAUAAAUUACCAUGCUGAAAAAUUGAUUUUUUUUUCUUCAUCAAGAAUACAUAUUAAUUUAAUAUAAUAGUGGAUUUAGUGUUUCACUAAUAGAUUCUAAAGCAAUAUUGGAAUAGAGUUUAAACAAAAAUAGACUAAUUUUGUAAUGUUAGGUGAUGCAAUUUUAUUGCUUAAGCAACACACUACAAAUUGAGUUCAAUAGAUCUAUAUUAUUAUUCUAUUCAUCCAUAUUUUUCAAGUAGAAAUUUUUCUAGUUUUUGUGACUGUGUCACAUAUAUUUUUUAUAAUCUCAAAGAACACUAAAAAAAACAAGGUUUUAAACUGAUUAAUUUUUCUUCUCUUCUAAUAAACUUAAUAACUAAAAAAUAAAAAAUAAAAUAAAAAAAUAAUCCUUCUCUUUUGUAGUUUGGCUACUAUUUGCAUUUUUAUAUUUCUUCCAAUCUUUUACUAAUUAAUAACAUCUAUAAAACAGACCACAAGACUAUACAUAUUUUUUAAUCUAAGAUGGUUUGAACUUGGCAUAGACAACUCCAUUUUUUCCAAACUAGAAGUGAAAUAAAAAAAAUAACCUAAUAAAUUUCUAAAUCACAUCUAUAAAUCAUCAAACCAUUAAAACAAAUUUAAAAAAAUAAAAAAAACAGAAAUAAUAAUAGAAACUCAAUAAAUUUAACUAAUAAAAAAAAUAUUUGGAAUUUUUAAAAUUUAUAAUUCAUUAGAUCAAAAUAACACUCUAUAAAAAAAUAAAAAAAUAAAAUCUUAAAUAAUAAUUAACUCAAUACAUAUACUAUCAAAGUCUAUUUUAUUUAUUGCAAGUAAGUUUCAAUCAUAUAUAUAUAUAUAUAUAUAUAUAUACUAAUUAUUUGUUUUACUUCAAAUAUUAGUUCAACAUCAAUUCAUAAAAAUGGUUUAAAAAAAUCAAUAACUUGUAGUUUAAGUUGAAUUUCUUGCUACCAAAGAAUAUCACAUAGAUUCAAUCAAAUUUUUAGCAACCAACUUUGAUUACAUCUAAAAAAAUAAUGUAGCUUUGUAAGAUAAAUUAUCCAGAAGAAAAUUAAAAAAAUUAUUAUUUCAUUAUCUUUAACUAUCUCAAUUUUACACACUUUUAUCAAAAACCGUACUAGUACAAGAUAAAAAAUAGAUGCUUCUAUCUAAGUUAAUAUUGCAUCAAAAACAUCAAUUUCUUAAAAUUAAAAAAAUUACAAUAGGUCACUUCACAACCAAAAUUGUUAUAUUAAAACCUAUAAGUAUCCUCAAUUAAUGUACUUAUCACAAUCUUUUAUCUUAUUUAUAUUUUACUAGCAAGUGCUUCCAAAAACAAUUGUAGAUCUAUCAUGAAAUUUCUUCUUGUAUAUAAGUAGAAGUUGUAAAGCUAUUGAUUUUGUAAAAAGAAAGAUUAUAUUGAAAAAUUUAAACCUACAUAUAAGAAAUAUUCCAACAUACUACUAUCAAAGUUACACCAAUAAAAACUUCUUACCUUGACUUUCAAAAACUUAAUGACUUUUUCCUUCAUAGAGCUUGUUAGAAGAAAAUAUUUGAAUUAAUUUAUAAAAGGCUUCAAACAAAUUAUAUUAUCUAUUUUUUAAAAAAUAAUAUAAAUUAGAUAAGAUAAAUUAACUAUCUUUAAUAAAUAAAUUUAUAUAAAGUGAUUUGAUAUUCUUCUUUCUAAAGUAUGCAUAAUACAUCUUCAAAAAGACUACAAAAUCACUCAAAGAUGAUAAUAUAUUAAAUUUGAAUAACUAUUGCAAAAGAUAAAAAGAUUCAAACAUCUUGAAAUAAGACUAAGGAUGAGAAAGGCAUUGACAAUAGUAAAAAAUACUUCACUCUUGUCUCCAUAUAUACUUUCUAACUAAGAGCUAUAUAAUAAUAUUCUAUAAGAUUUCUAAUAUGUGUUGAUUUUGCUAAACACAUGACUUGACUUUGAAGACAAGUUAUCUAUAUGAAUACCACAUAGUUAACUUGUUCUACAAGCUACUAACACGUGUAUCAUGUGACUAAUUUAUUGACUAAAUUUUUAGCCUACCAAUUAAAUAAAAACACAUGUAAAGUCAAAGCAUCAUUUAUGAAGCUUUUAGAAAGCUUCUUUAGAAGAUAUUAUGAAAUUAGUCUACUUUUAUCUACUUCUACCUAAUCAUAUAGGUAAUUAUUGGAAUAAAUAUGUAUGUUUAUGACAUUACCUCUUUUUUAGACAUAAAUGCUAUAAGGAGUUGUCAUCAUAUGUUCAAAAAAUCCAAGAUGUGGCAAAUUGUAUUUGUUAUAUACUAUAAUCUUUAUUUUUUUUAAAGAUGAUUGGUAGGUUUUCUAAGCAAUUGACAGUAUUAUAUACUAGGACAAAAAAACUACCAUGUUAUUUGAUUGUCAUUGAGGCCUUUAUAAUUUAUUUCAAGUAAAAUAUUUGAAUUACUAUCAACAAUCAUCCCGACUUCUAAUAAAAUCACCAAACAUCAAGAAGCUCUUCUAAGAUUGUGAUAUCAAACACAUUGUAUUUCACCAUUUAUUUGACAGAAGAUAUGUUGUUCUUGAGGAUCUUCAUCUCGAUUACAUCAUCUUCAACAUUGUGACAAAUGCAAUGUCUUCUGUAAUAAUUCAACAAACAAUAACUUUUAAGCUAAAUCUGUUAGUUAUUGAUUCUCUAUCUUUUUAGUGCCACAAAUACACAAAAGCUACAAAUAAAGAUAGAACAUAGCAUAUUAUCUUUAUUGUAUCUUGUUUCUUUUAUAACAAAGAUUUUCUAUUCUUCAUCUUAGUUUUGAUAGAUGUUGUUAUUGAAAAGCAUCAACUUUCAUUAUUGUAUUUAUAAGAUUUUUUGCUAGCUUCCAUGAGUAUUUAUUAAUAUCAUAUCUAUGCCAAUGAAUAAGAUAUUUUAAUCUAUUUUAGCACUGCAUUGAAUUUAAGAAUUUUUCUACCUCAAAUCCUUCAUUAUUAUUUAUUUUUAUAGGAAGAGGUGACAUUUAUCUUUUUUUGAGAUAUUUAAUAUCUUAUAUAGCUAAAAAAAGAUAUAUAAAAUAUAGUAUGGAUUUUCAUAGACUAUAGUAGAUAUAAUCAAUAAGUAAUAUGAUUGAAUUAUUCACAAAAAAGUAAUGUCGAAGCCUAUAAUAGUCCAACUUAUCACAAAAAUAAAUAGUCUUGAUAUUGCAACAAAGUAAGCAUACUUUAUUACUUACAUUAAAUUAUGGUUAUUCCUUAUAAUAGGCAUUUGUAUUGAUCUUUUGUUAUUCUUGAGCUUCCUUUAAUUGUACCUUCAUUUUUGCAUAUAGCUUUGACAAAUAAUUUGUUAAAUCUUUUACCUUAAGAUUAUUAACUUUUGAAAAGUCAAAAAUAUUAAAUCAAGGAUGAUAACUAUAAUUGGUAAAAAAUGAUGUUUAUUGAAUAAAAAAAUAUAUCAAAUUAUUAAAAAAAAAAUUGCUAAUGGUAAAAUAAUUGUCUAAUCAUCUUAAUGAUAGUUGAAAGUAUGCCUCAAAUAUUAUUGUACAAUUUGAUUCAUCUAUUUCAUUUGUCCAUUAGUUUGAAGAUAAAAGUAAAAGAAUAAAAAAUUAAAAUCUUAAAAAAGAUAUUUCAAAAUCUUAAUAUGAAUUAAGCCUUCUUAUUUGAUAUAACAUCUUUAGAUAAUCUAUGAUAGUGAUAAAUAUUAUUAAAAAAGUCUUAGCCAUUUCUUCACCUAUGAUGGAUUUUGUAUAUGAUAUAAAAUAUAUCAUCUUGAUAAAAUGAUGUAUUAUUAUAAAUAUAAAAUCAUACAAACUAGAAAUUAAAAGAUUCAUGAUAAAAUCCAUAAAAAUAAAAAAAAACUAUAAUUGUUUAAGAACAGAUAAUGGCUAAAGAAGUCUACAAGGUUGAUGACAAGGAAUUUUUUAUUUUGAAUAAAUAUAACAUGAUUUUACAAAGUCUUUAAUUACCUUCUACAUUUAAGGCUAUCAAUUUUUAUUUUAUAUUAGCUUCAAAGACUUACUAUAUCCAAAAUAUCUAGCUGGUAGAAAGUUAUGAUGAGCUUUAAGAAUAUAUAAUUGUAUUUUUUCUUUUGGAAUAUAUAAUUAUUUUAAAAAUAAAAUUGAUUAUUUUUGAAGCUAAACUUAAACUUCAAAGUAUCAUAAGACUUAAAAGAAGUAUUCUUGAUGUCAUAAACAAGAGAAUUAGAGGACAUACUUCAUUAAAUUUAUUUGAUAAAGGUUGAAUCAAUAAUCAAUAUUGAUAUUAUUAUUCAAAGAUAAAAAUGUUCUAACUUUAAGAAAAUCAUUCUUUACUGACUGAAAGCUGUAUCUUCUUUUCAUAUAACAUAAGAAUAUUUAAAAAGUGCAUUUAAUAAAUCUUAUUGUUUUUUGGAUUGAUAAGUAAUCUUGAAAUCAAAUAUUAAUAAAAAAAAUGCUCCGAUGGACUUGACAACAAUUCAAAAUAAGUGCCGACAUGAAGUACUUGAAGUUCUUGUAAUAUGCAUAUACAAUGACAAGUCUUGAUGUGCCUUUCAAAUAAUGAUUCCAUUCUUAGAAUAAAUCCAUAAUUGUAAGAAGUUCUUUGUCAUGGAUUUUAUAGUUAAUCUUGAUUGCUGAAAUGUUUUUGGAAAGAAAAGCUAUUAAGUGGAGAUAUCAUCUGCUUCUAUUUGUAAUAAUACGACACCUAAAACAAAGUUUGAUGUAUUUGUUUCUAUAAAGAAUGCCUUGAAAAAAUUGAUGCCAUAUAAAAUUGGUGCAAAAAUAAAUACUAUCUUUAAGGCUUUAAAGAUGCUUCAACUUUUUUUUUCCACUCAUGUUUAUCUCUAUAUGUCAAAUGUGUAAGAAGAGUUGCAACUUGAAAUUUUUUUUAAUGAAGAUCUUGUAAUAAUUAGCAAAUUUCAAAAAAUAUUACACAUCUCUUAUUAUUUUUAAAAUCUUAUAAUUGAUAAUAGUUUUGACUUUUUUUAGAUUUAUCAUUAGAUUUUUAUUGGAAAUGAUGUAAUCUAAGAAGUCAAUUUAUAGUGACUCAAAAAAUUAUUUCAAUGUUGACAUAUUUUAGAAAGAAUAGUGUAUUAUAGAUGAAUUAUAGUAAAUAAUGGUACAUGGUUUUUAUAGCAAAUAAAGUACUCUUUUUAAAGCUAUCAAAUGAGCUUAGGUUGAAAAGAAUCCAUUAGAUAAUUGCAAAGCUAUGACCAAUCUAAUUUUUGUAGCAUUGAAAUAAUUUUUUGAGUGUAGUGUCUAAUUUUUGGAUUCUAUCAAUUACUCAACAUCACAACAUUCUAUCAUAAUCAAAUUUAUUAUUAAAAUAUUAUUAUUAAUCUGAUGACAUCAUUAAUACUUACUAGCAAUUAUAAAAGCAUCAUUCUUAAUCACAAUUAUUUGCAUGAAGAUAUUCCAAAUUAUAACAUUUUAGGACCUUUUAGAAUCUUCUACAAAUUUCUAAAACCUUCUAAAUACUUAUAGAAUCUUUUACAAUCUUUUAAAAAGUUCUAAAGGCUUUUGGAAGCCUCUUUAGACUUCUAAAAACUUCUAUAGAAAGUACCAUAGACUUUUAUAACCUUCAUUAUAGUAUAAAUAGGAGUCUUUGGAACUACUUUGGCUUUCAAUCUCAUUUUUUGUCUUUAAUCUUGACAUAUUUUUUUAUCAAAUUCUUGUGUCUUUGACAAUUCCUUGAAUAAUUAUGAGACCCAUUUCUUGUUCUUUCUAAGUCAAUAUCACCUCUGCUCUUCUUCAUUCUCAAAAAUCUUAUGGCCAAAUUGCUUGUAAACUUCAUUACAAUAAAGCUACUAUCUUUAGGCUAGCAAAAAAGAUCACUUUUAAUAGAAAGAAUUUUAAAUUAGAUAGAACAAAGAAGCUCAUUUUAGUAGAUGAAAAAACAAUCAUUUAUCAAAUCAACACUGAGAAGACUGAAAAUGUUGUUGAGGUUGCUAAAAUUUUUAAUAAGAUUAUCAAUAAUCCUGUAUCAAUCUAAACUAUUUGAAAUAUUUUCAAGAAAUAGAAUAUGAAAGUCGUGGUGAAGAAAAAAGAACCACUACUAUCUACUUGCCAUUAAAAAUAAUCCUUGGAUUUUGCUCUGAAGUACAAGAAAUAAACUAUGGAGGAUUUGAAGAAGAUUAUUUAGUCGAUUGAGACAAAAAUCAAUAAAUUUGGAUUAGAUGAGAAAAAAUAGGUGUAGAAAGAAAAAGAUUAGUCUUUUUUUGUUAAGAAGAUAUAAAAAAUAGUUAAGCAUGGAAUUAGAGAUAUAAUAAUAUAAAAUUAUAUGGAAUGAAAUGAGGUUAGAAGGAUGGUAGAGAUUGAGGAGAAGAUAGAUACCAAGAAAUUUGUGGAAAUUCUUGAAAAAAAUCUACUCCCUAAUAUUAAAGAAUUUGGCAUUUUAAAGAAGAGGUGAUUUUUCAAGAAGAUAAUGAUUUCAAGCAUAAUUCAAAACUAACAUGGAAGUCAUUUGAUCAUCAUAAGAUUAAAGUAAUGGAUUGGUCUACUCAGUCUCUUAAUCUUAAUUCCAUUGAACAUCUUUGGCAGCACCUCAAACACCAGCUCAAUAUCUAAAAAAUAAAAUCAAAGAAAAUUUGAAAAUUGUGAAUAAAGAAUAGUUGCGGAAUGAAAUAAUAUUGAAGCAAUUUAGUACCAAAAGUUAAUAGAAAGUAUGCUUAGGAGGUUGAAAGUAGUUAUCAAGGCCAAAAGAGGUUCUAAAAAGUACUAAUAUGUAACUAGAUACUAUAUUCAAAAAAAUAUUUCAAUACUAUUCAAAAUUGGAUUAAUCAUAGAUUCAUAAUUACUUAAUGGAUUCUUUUUAAAUUGAGCUCAUUUAGUAGCUAUAAAUCAAUUUUUUAUUUGCUAUACAAACCACAUAUCAUUAUUUAUUAGAAUUUAUCUAUAAUAUACUAUUCUUUUUAAAAUAUAUCAAUAUUAAAAUAUUUUUCUGAUUCAUUGUAAAUAGUGUAGAAUACAUCCAUUUCUAUCUUCACAUAUAAUCUUGUAUCUUUAAGUUUUUGUAAUAGACAAUCAACAUAAAUUUUAUAUUUUUUUGUAUUUUUAAAAUAAAUUAGAAUGUUGUCUAUAUAAUAGAUAGUAAAAUCAUCAACAAACUCAUAAAAAAUUAUCAUUCAUAAGAUGUUGAAAAGCAAUUGGUACAUUUGUGAGUCUAAAAGGCAAGAUAAUAUAUUCAAAAUAUCUAUACCUAAUUUAAAAAGUAGUCUUUUAUUUAUCUCCUUCUUUAAUAUCAAUUAAGUUGUAUGCUCUUUAUAGAUCUAUUUUUAUAUAGAUCUUCAUUUGAUUCAAUUGAUUAAAAAAUCCUAAAAUUAGAAGUAAGAGAUAUCUAUUGUUAAUGUUGAUCUUAUUAAGUUCUUAAUAGACUAUGUACAUCUAUAGAGAUCCAUUAUUUUUUUUCACAAAUAAGAUAGAAGCUCCUACUAUAGAUUUUGAAUGGCGUUUGAAGUUUUUAGCCAUGUUUUAGUCAAUAUAUUCUUUUAGUACAUCCAACGCAUUCUAUAAUAAGCUGUAGAUUGGUCCAUAUAGUAGUUAAAUUCUUUCUUAUAAAUCAAUUGAACAAUCAUAAGAUUGAUGUUCUAAAAGAAUAUUUAUAAUAAUUUUUUCAAAAAUAUCAUAAAAAUCUUGAUAUUGGCUAAGUGAUAUCACUUGAAAUCUUUUUACUAUUAGAAAUGUGUAUAAUAUAUACAACAAAAGAUGACCCUUCUUUUGCCACAUGCAUAAAAGCUUUUACACCUAUUACUUAGAAUUUAGAUAUAUUAAACUUAUAUAUUUCUAUUUGACUAAUGAGAUUUUGAAUUAAACUACCAAAAUAAUUAAGAUUACAAAAAAUCUAAUCUAUUUUAGGAUUAUAUUUUUUUAACCACAAUAAUCUUAAAAUAAUUGAAUUAAAAGAAGAUCUAAUUAAAUUAAAUAUUAAUAUGCUAUUAUGAUCUUUAAUUGCUACAUCCAAAAGAAAAAUCUUAUAGAUAAAAAUUUUAGAAGACAACAAAUGACUAUCUAUAGCUUCUAUAUGUAUUAAUUUAGUUUUUUUGAUUAAAUAUAUUUUUUAUUUUUUGACAAAGUCUUUGUCUAUAAAAUAGAUUAAAGCUUUUGAAUCUAAUAAUGUAAAGACUUUCUAAUUUUUAGAUCCUAAAUAUAUAUCUAUUAUAUAACAAGGUGAUGGAUUUGAAGAGAGAAUAAGAUCUUUAGUAGAUGUUGUAUAUGAUUGUAGCCGCAUACUCCCUAUUUUAGCUAGCAAAACUUGAUUUUUGAUUUAUUCACAAGGACAAGAACUUGAUGAAAGCAAAUAAAUAAGUGAGACUCUUUCAUAGAAAUACAACAAAAUAGAAAUAAAAAGUAUACAUAUUAAAAAAAAACUAAAAUAGCUAUUACCAAAAGAUAAGAAAAUUUGAAAUUCUUGCAAUCUUUUCAAAGAAGAACAUGUUAUUCUUAAAGGUCUUCAUUUCUAUUGUGUCGUCUUAAAGGUUGUAAUAAUCAUAAUAUCUCAUCUGGUAAGUCAAAAAAUAAUGGUUCUUGAAUUGAAUCUGCUAGCUCUUGGUUCUCUAUCUUCUUAAUAUUACAAUUAUAUAGAAACUACAAAUAAAAAUAGAAGAUAGAAUGAAAUAUAUUUUAAACAAUAUUUUUUUUAUAGAAAAGGUUUGCUAUCCUUCAUCUUGGUUUUUAUAGAUGUCAUUGAUGAAAAGCUUUGAUCUUCUCUAUUGUAUUUAUAAGAUUCUUUGUUGGCUUUCAUAUGCAUUAUCAUAUUAUAAUUGUUUAUGAUAUGUAAAAAUUAACUAAAAUAUAUAAUAUAUUUAUAAAUAUUGAUGUACAUUAGAGUGGUUAGUAAGUUAAUUUAAAAAGAGUUGAUAUAAGAAAAUUUGUGUUAAAAUUUAUCUAUUUUGAUUAUAGUGUUUAAAUUAUAUAGGAUUUAGAUAUUUAAUAUAAAAUUUAAAGAGAAGAUUGAGGCUCAAAGAUGAAGUUUCAAACCUCUAAGAAACUCAUUUAAAAAGAUGAAAGCAAGGUAUAGAUGGAUGAAGGUAAGAGGUGAAGAUCUUCAUUUCUAUUGAUCAAAAGCCAUACCUAGUAGGCUCUCAAGAUACUAUCUACGACUGUAAUAACUUUUAAAAGAUGCAUAAUAUAGAAUAGACAAGAAUAUUUUAUAAUGAAGAGAUAUUCAUUAUAACUAUGGUCUAGUAGAUUAUGCCAAAUAAUUAAAGAGAUAUGAUUGCUACUAAGUUUUGGAUUCCAUUAUAGAAUAAGAUAUAUACCAUGAACAUUAAAAUAUGCAGCCUUAUUAAAAUUAUAUAUGAAUAGUUAUUAUUUCAAAAUUAAAGAAUUAAAAAGAAAAAAUAACAUAUAAUAUUUUUAUAAUAUAAUACUAUUAUUAGGUAAAAGAAAAAAAUAUUAUAUUAUAAAUGAGCUUCAAUAAAAAUAUUUUAGCAAAUUAUUUCAAAAAUAUAGAUAAUAAAAAAAGAAGUAAUAAAAAUUAAUAAGUAUUAAAGUUACUUUCUUAUAAAAAAAGAUUCUACUUAUUUUCUAAGAUCAUAAAUCAAGCAAAAAAAAAUAUUAAGAAAAUAAAUCAAACAAGAAUCUUUAGAAAAAAAAUUAAAAAUAUGUUUAUACAAAGAUUAUUUUAAAAUAUUAAAAUUGAUACCUAAAAAGGAGUGAUUGUGAACUUGGUUUGAAAUCAGAAUCGAAUGCACAAAACUAGGUACCUAUAGUGAUUCUAAGGAACUUUAGUUGAUUGAAGAAGAAAUUUAAAAACAAACUAGUAUGAAAUUUUUUAAGUAUUAAUUUCAUGUGAUUUAGAGAUAUAUUAAGUUUUUGAGGGCUUUUCAAAAAAAAAGAUGUACUUAGUGGUUUUUUAUGGAUAUACAUAUUUAUUCCAAUAAUUACCUAUAUAAUCAAAUAGAGAUAAAUAAAAGUAGAUUUAUUUUAUAAUAUCUUCUAAAAAUUCUUUUUAGAAGUUUUUUAGAACUUAUUAAUUAAUUAUCAAUACAUGUAAUAUCUUCUAAAGAACCUUUUUAGAAGCUUCAUAGAUUUUGCUUUGAUCUUAUAUAUAUUGAUAAUUAAUUAAUAAGUUAGAAACUUAGUCAAAAUGUUAGCCACAUGACACACAUAUUAGUAGCUUGUAGAACUAUGUGGUAUUUUCAUGAAUAUAUAUCUAUUAUAAUUUUUACUUAGACAAUAUGAAUAGAUAGAAGUAGGUAAAAGUAAAUUAAUUUCAUUAUACCUUCUAUAAAUACUUUUUAGAAACUUUUUAGAUGUUUUUUUGACUUUACAUGUAUUUAUAAUUGAUUGAUAGAUUAGAAACUUGAUCAAAAAGCUAAUCACAUGCCAUAAGUAUUGAUAGCUUGUAAAAUAAGCUAACUAUGUAGCAUCCAUAUAGAAAACUUGUUUUCCAAGUUAAGAUACAUGUCAUGCAAAGUCAACAUGUUUUUGGAGGUUUUAUAAAAUAUCGCCACAUAGAUCCUAAAAAGAUAAUAUAUAAAGAGGCAAGAGUGAAGCUUUCUUCACUCUACUCAACUCCUUUCUUGCUUCUAGUCUAGUUUCAAGAAUCUCUAGUUUUCUUGUCUUUAUUAAAGACAAGAACUUAAUAAAAACAAAUAAACAAGUGAGACUUUUUUCAAAGAAAGAUGACUAAAUAUGUAUAUUAAGAAAGAAACUAGAAUGGCUAUUGCCAAAAGAUAAGAAAACUAGAGAUCCUUGAAACUAGAUUAUAGGCAAGAAAGAAAUUUUCAAGAGUGAAGAAGACUUCACUCUUACUUCUAUAUAUACUAUCUACCUAGGAGCUACAUAGUGACAUUCUAUAGGACCUCCAAAAACGUGUUGACUUUGUACAACACGUAUCUUAACUUGCGAGGAAAGUUUUAUAUGCAGGUACCAUAUAGUUAGCUUGUUUUGCAAGCUAUCAACAUGUAUCACACGUGGUUAACUUGUUGACCAAGUUGCUAACAAAUCAAUCAAGUAUAAACACAUAUAAAGUCAAAAUAAGGUCUAUGAAGCAUUUAGGGAGCUUUUCUAGAAGAUAUUAUAAAAUUAAUCCACUUUUAUCUACUUCUAUGUAUUCAUAUCGCCUAGUUAAUACUUAUAGUAAAUAUAUGUUUGUAACAUUAUCCGCCCUUCUAGGAACGAGUUCUACAAGGAGCGGUGAUCACAUGUCGAGGAAGUCUAAGAUGCAGCAAAUUGUAUUUGUCAUAUACUUUGAUCUUUGUUUUCUUUGAAGAUGAUUGAUAAGGCCUCUCAACUAUUGAUAGUAUCUCAUACCAAUACAAAAGACCACCUUGUUAUUUGAUUGUUGUUGAGGCCUUCAUAACUUCCUUCAAAUAAAAUAUUUGGAACACCGUCAAGAUUUGUUCCUACUUCUAGUAAAAUCACCAAUCAUUGGGAGUCCCUUCCAAGGUCGUGAUACCAAACACAUUAUAUCUAGCCAUCUAUUCGAGGAAGAACAUGUCAUUCUUAAGGAUCUUCAUCUCGAUUGCAUUGUCUUUAAGUUUGUGACAAUUGUAAUGUCUCGUCUAGUAGGUAAGUAAAUGAAGACUUUUCAGUCAAACCCCGUGGUUGUUAAUUCUCCAUCUCAUUAGCAUCACAACUAUAGAAAAGUUACAAACAAGAAUUGAAAAUAGAAUGUUAUCUUGCUUAGAUCUUGUUUCUUUUAUAAGGAAGGUUUUCAUCUUGAUUUUGAUGGAUGUCAUCGAUAAAAAGCCUCCACUGUCUUUGCUGUAUUUGUAAGUUUCUUUAUCAACUCCCAUGUGCAUUUACUAAUAUCAUAUCCGUGCCAAUAGAUAAGAUAUUCUAAUUUAUUUUGGCGCCGCCUUUAAUCUAGAAGUUCUUCUACUUCGAAUUCUUCAUUAUUGUCUACUUCUAUAGGAAGAGGUGGAGCUUGUCUGCUUCUUGGAAUGUCCACUAUCUUGUAUGGUUCAAGAAGAGACACGUGGAAUACUAGAUGGAUUUUCAUUGACUCUAGUAGGUAUAAACGAUAUGCAACUGGAUUGAUUUGUGCAGAAAUAAAAAAUGGUCCAAGCCUUCGAUAGUCCAACUUGUCACAAGGAUGAGUAGUCUUGAUAUUAUGACGAAGUAACCAUAUCUUAUCACCCAUGUGUAAUGGUGGUUGUUUGUUUCGAUAGACAUCCGCAUUGACCUUUUGUUAUUUUUGAGCUUCUUUUAACUACGCCUUCAUUGUUGUAUGUAGCUCUAACAAAUAAAUUUCAAAAUAUUUUGUAACAGAAUUAUCAACUUUUAAAAAGUCAAAAGUAUCAAGUUAUGGAUGAUAACCAUAACUAGCAAAGAAAGAUGUUUAUUUUAUAAGAAAACAUAUCGUUGUCGUAUUACGUACUAUCUUGCUUGAGAACGCGUCGCGCGUCUGGCUGUAGGAGGUAGUAUGGUAUUUUGCUAGUACUCAAGCAGUCUAUCGUAUUCUUGACUACCCAAAUACAAUCUAUAUCAGAUUGCAAUGUAAAAGCUUAAUUCCAAUAUAAAACGCCUAGAGAUCCUAUAUAACUUCAAUAUCUUUUGUUAUUUUUAUUUUAUUUUAUUUUAUUUUAUUUUAUUUAUUUAUUUUAUUUUAUCUUUAUUACUAAUUACUUUAAUCCUAGACCGUGAACUUUGGCAAGCUGUGAUCCUCAAUUUGUCCUUCUGACUUCUUGUGAAACAUCUAUUGCUAGUGUCUCUGCAAGCCCUUUCGAAUGCUCAAGAAGUUCCAGUUCAACCCCGCUUACAAAUUGUGAGGCUAUGCUGCAAUCCGCAUCGAUGUCCCUUGGCCGCUCGCCAAUAUUCCUCUUAUCCCUGUUGGUAGGUCCCCAAUUAUCACUAAAAUCCUAAACAACCCCCAAUUUGCCAACUUCCAAAACUUCUUUAAACUGUUAGUAGAUAUCCUCUACUCGUACAGUCAGAUUAACACAACCAUGCAUGCAUUCAGCAUAUUCAACCUUCUAGACAACUCUGAAUUUCAACCACAGAAGUAUCUCCCAUUUCAUCAACAAUCAAGAUUACCAGCCUUUUCUCUCUUUCGGAAAAAAAAUCCAGUUCACCAAUAUAACACUAACUUUCAGCAACGAUUGCCUUAGUCUUCUCAAAAUCCAAUGAAGAAAAAAAAAAAACCCCCAAUUCUCUGUCUUUUUCUCCCCAAAGCAUGAAGCUAGCUCUCCGACCUAAAACCCCUGAUUUUCCCCCUUUUUUUCAUUGCUUAACCUAUCCUCCCCUUUAACCGUGAGAAGAUCCUAUUCUCCUGCCUUGGACUCCCCAAAUUGGAAUAGCCAACGGAGCUUUCUCUCCCAUUUUUGCCUUUAAGAGAUCCUUUUACCGAAAGGACGUUCCCAAAAUGGCACAAAGAACGGAACAGCCUAAAACGAAAUCGGAGCCCCAUAAUUGGACCGCAUUGGGUUGUCCGACCAAGUCAAGUCUCAUAUUGGAUAAGAGGCUCGUAGUAAGACCCGGAUGUUCCCGUAAUUGAGUCAAAUUGGUCCUUCGCGUCAGGCUCGUUCAAUCAUCCAUUUAGUCCUUUCAAUUCUGUUGACUCCCACUAUUGGACUCAAACGGAGCAUUUUUUUACAAGUAAGUAUGCCCUGACCGACUAUGACGGAGUGUCUGAACUGGCCACUGAAUAUUGGCACUGGAAUCGGUCGUUGCUCCCAAUAUUUGAGGUGAUUGAACAUUAAUAAAAGUCCCUUUUCUUUAUAUUUUCACGGUAUACUCGUGUUACAACACGACACCGUGUUAUUGUAAGUAAACUCUAUCAAUGGUAAAAGAGUUGUCUAAUCAUCUUCUUAGUAGUUAAUGGUACACCUUAAAUAUUGCUUCAAAACUUGAUUAACACGCUCCGUUUGUCCAUCAGUUUGAAGAUGGAAUGUCGAAGAUAGUUUUAUAUCCACUUUUAGAAUCUUAAAAAUAAUCUACCAAAAUCUUGAUACAAAUUGAGUUUUUCUAUGUGACAUAAUAUCCUUGGAUAAUCCAUGAUAGCGAUAGAUAUUGUCAAGAAAGAGCUUAGCUGUUUCUUCACCUGCGAUAGAUUUUAUACAUGAUAUAAAAUGUGCCAUCUUGGUAAAAUGAUCUACUAUCAUGAAUAUAGAGUCAUAAGAACCUGAGAUUAUAAGAUCCGUCAUAAAAUCCAUAGAAAUAGAAGACCAUGGUUGUUUAAGAAUGAGUAAUGGCUGAAGAAGUCUGUUAGAUUGAUGACGAGGAGUUUUUGAUUUUGAGAAAACAUAACAAGAUUGUACAAAAACUUUGAGUACUUUUUACAUUUGUGGCCACCAAAAGUCCCUGGAUAUUAGUUCCAAAGUUUUAUUAUACCCAAAAUAUCCUACUUCUGGAAAGUCAUGACGAGCUUGAAGAACACGUAAUCGAACUUCACCUUUUGGAAUAUAUAGUCAUCCCUCAAAAUAUAGUAGAUUGUUCUUAAAUUCAAACUUGGAAGUAUCAUGAGACUUUAAAGGAUUUUCCUUAAUAUUACAAAUAAGUGAAUCAAAAGACAUACUUGACUCAACGUGCUUUAUGAAAGUUGAAUCAACAGUUAGUGUCGAUUUCAUUGCUCAAAGAUGAAGAUGCUUUGGCUUCAAGAGAAUUAUUCGUUGUUGAUCAAAAGCAACAUCUCUUUCCUUUGGUGAAAGAUACGAUCGUCUAGAGAGCGUAUUUAAUAAAACUUGUUAUUUUUUUAGUCAAUAAGUGAUCUUGAUUUUGAAUCUUGACGAAGACGUACUUCAACUAGCUUGGCAAUGAUUCAAAACAUGUGCUGACAUGAAAUAUUCAAGGUUCUUGUGAUCCGUAUACAUUGUGACUAGACUAGAAGUAUCUUAUAGAUAAUGGCACCAUUCUUGAAACAAAUCCACGAUUGCAAGAAGUUUUUUGUUGUAGAUCUCGUAGUUGAUCUCAACUGCUAAACUUUUUUUGGAAUGAAAAGCUAUUGGAUGAAGUUUAUUAUCUAUUUCUAUUUGUUAUAACACAGCACUCAAAGCAAAGUCUGAUGCGUGUAUUUCCAUAAAAAAUGGCUUAAAAAAAUUGAUACAAUACAAGAUUGGUGCAGAAACAAAGGUUGUCUUUAGAGCUUCAAAUGCUACUUCUCCUUCUUAAUUCUAUUGAAGUUUGUCUUUGUAAGUCAAACGUGUAAGUGGAGCUGUAAUUUAAGAGAAGUCUUUGAUGAACAUCUGAUAGUAGUUAACAAAUGCCAAAAAAUAUUAGACAUCUCUUACCAUUUUUGGGAUCUUUCAAUCCAUAAUAGUUUGAACUUUCUAAGCAUCUAUCAUAAGUUCAUCAUUUGAAAUGAUGUAUCCUAAGAAGUCGACUUAAGUAGUGUGAAAUAUACACUUUUCUUUCUUGGCAUAGAGUCCUACAUCUCUUAGUUUUUGUAAUACUUAGCAAACAUGAAAUUCAUAUUCUUUUGAGUUUUUAGAAUAGAUUAAGAUGUCGUCUAGGUAACAGACAACAAAAUCAUCUAAAAACUCUCAAAAGACAUCAUUCAUUACAUGUUGCAAUGAUGCUAAUACAUUUGUAAGUCGAAAAGGCAUGACGUAUUCAAAAUGUCCAUACCUUGUUUGAAAUGAGGUCUUCCAUUCAUCUCCUUCUAUGAUGCAUAUCAAAUUGUAUGUGCCCCGUAGAUCUAUUUUUGUAUAGAUCUUAGUUUGAUUCAAUUGAUCAAGAAAUCUAGAUAUCAAAGGCAGCGGGUAUUUAUUUUUUAUAGUAAUUUUGUUGAGUCUUCGAUAAUCAAUACACAUCCUUAAUGAUCCAUCUUUUUUUUUUUCAAAUAAAAUUGGAGCUCUUGUUGGAGAUUUGGAAUGGCGUAUGAAGUUCUUGGCCAAAUUUUCUUCAAUAUAUUCCUUGAUUUCAACCAACCCAUUUUGAGAUAAAUUAUAGAUUGGUCCAAAUGGCGGUUGUGUUCCUUCUUGAAGUUCAAUUGAGCAAUCAUAGGGACGAUGUUCUAGAAGAGUAUUCACAUUCUUUUUUUCUAAUACAUCUUGAAAAUCUUCAUAUUGGCUUGGAAUGCCACUUGAAGUCUUUCCACCAAUAGAAACAAGUGUGGCAUAAAUGACACAAGGUGAUCCUUCUUUUGCAGCAUGUAAGAAAGCACUUGCACCUACAAAUAUAGGUUUAAUUAUACUAAACUUAUGACUUUCUACUUGAUUAACUAUACUCUUAGUUAUACUUUCAAAAAAGUCAAGACUACGAGAAGUCCAAUCUAUUUUAGGAUUAUAUUUUUCUAGCCAUGAUAAACCUAAAAUGACUAGAUUAGAAGGUGAUCUAAUGAUAUUAAAUAUUAUAAAGCUACUAUGACCAUUAGUUGCUAUUUCUAUAGGAAGGGUUUCAUGAGUAACAUCUCCUGAAGACAACAAACGACUAUCUAUGACUUCUACAUGAACAGAUUUAGUUUUCUUUAAUAAAAAUAUGCUAUGUCUUUUAGUAAAUUUCUCAUCUAAGAAACAUGCUGAGGCUCGUGAAUCUAGUAAAGUAGAGGCUUUGAGAUGUUUAGAUCCUAGAAUAAUAUUUAUCGUAAAAUAUAGAGAUGGUUUUGAGGAGAGGAUAGGACCUUCACUAGACGUUGUACAAGGUUCCAACUGCACGGUCCCUAUUAUAGCUAGACAAAUUCAUUUUCCGGCAUGCUAUCUUCUUUGAUCAUCGUACUCCUCAUGUUUUGGUUGUGUCGCUUCUUUGGACAAUGUUGAGCAUUGUGCUAAGAUUCUCUACAAUAGAAGCACAAUCCUUCUUCACGACAAUGAGUCUUUUCUUGUUCAAUAAGAGGUUUAAAACGUAUUGCAUCAAUUUGCAUAUCGUCUACUUUCGAAUGUAUGUGUUGAAGAGAUGUUGGUGUUGCUAUUGAAUUAUAGUAACAUUGAGGUCCACUUGUACGGUUCUCAGAUUGAAAUUCAAAAAGGUGAUUAUCGCACUUCAUAGCAAAGUCAAUUGCUUGACUCAAUGUUUGAAGAUUAAGUAAGUUGAGCAUUAUUUUCUUUUACCUCAUAUUGUAAUUCGUAGAGAAAUUGGCUAAUAAGUGGAGCAUCAUCCCACUUGAUAUCAAUAACAAGUUAUCAAAAUUGUGAAGCAUACAAUGUUAUUGAUCGAUUGCCUUGUCGUAAAAUAUAGAUCUUAUUGGUUGCAACACGAAUUGCAUCAUGUUCUCUGUACAUGGAUCAAAACUCUGCCAAAAAAGCCACUAGAUUAUCCAAUAUUGAAUCUUGUCGUGCAAAAAAAGAUGAAAAUCAUGAUAAUGUUGAACCUAAAAGAAGCGUACUAAUGAAUCUAACUUGCGAUCCUAGAAUUGGAUAGCUUUGGGGUUGAAGUUCAAUUACAAGUUUUACUUGAGUGAUAAAUCUUUUAAACUUUGAUCUUGUGCCAUCAAACUUCUCGGGUAGGACAAUUCUUGGUUUUCUAACACUGGAAGGGCGUUCCACUAUAGGAUGAGGGACAUGAUUUGGUAUAGAUGUUGAAGUAGCUCCAAUCAUUUCUAUAUCUUUACUUCAUGCUAAACUUGUUACUCCUUGUAGUGGUAAAUUGAGUUGAUGCAUCGCAAGCAUUAACUAUCUCAAUUGCUCUUGCAUUUGUACUAUUGCACUCUUCAUUUUAGUAAGUUUUGCCAUGAUAACACUUAAAAAAGAAAAGAUGUCUAAUAUCGCUCAAGACAAAUAGAAGAGAGGACUUGAGAAUAAAGAAAAUAUUAAGGACAAUAUCAGUUUAGAAGAAGGUAAUCCGCAACUUCUAAUAUGUUUAUGUCUUAUCAAGAAAAAGGGAUAAUCCACUCUUAAUCAAGAUUAGACAAAGCUCUGAUAUUGUAAGUAGACUCAUGUCAAUCUGUCAAGGACAAGAACAUGCUAAAGACAAAUGCUAUUGCCAAAAGCCUAGAAAACUAGAGACCCUUGAAAUUAGACUAGAAGCCAGAAAGGAGUUGACAAGAGUGAAGAAGGCUUCAUUCUUGUCUUUAUAUAUACUAUCUUACUAGGGCUAGAUGGUGACAUUCUAUAAGACCUCCAAUAUGUGUUGAGUUUGUAGGACACAUGCCUUAACUUACCAAGCAAGUUUUUUUACGUGUCGGCCACAUAGUUAGCUUGGUCUUCAAGCUAAUAACAUGUGUGGCAUAUGGCUAACUUGUUGACCACGUUUCUAAUCCCAAAAAGUCAAUUAAAGACAUGUAUAAAGUCAAAGCAACGUCUAUAAAGCUUCUAAGAAGCUUCCAUACCAAACACUAUAGAAUUAACUUACUUUUAUCUACUUUUACUUACUUUUAUUUAUUUAUACAUAUAAUUAUUGGCUUAUAUGCAUAUGUCCAUGACAAUCUUAUCAUAUUUGAUAUUUUUAUGUGGAUAGAGAUUCAAAGGUAAUAUAAUAGCAUCAAUUGUGAGGUGGUUAUUCUAUGAAAGAAACAUGUGGUAUAAAUUUUGUAUGUUGCCAUCAAAUGUGGUAGUGAUUUAUAAUUCUUGAAGAGAGCUGAUUAUAAGGGAUGGAUUAUAAAUGUUCUAUCUUAUUGGUCAAGAUCUUUUAAAACAUAUAAAUAAAAUAGUUAUGAAUAAGGUAGUCAUAAGUACAAUAAAAAAAAAAUCACUCUUUAAUACUUUUUGUGUAUUUUUAAAGUCUUUGAGGGCAAUGAAUGCAUGAGAGUGAAAAAUAUUGUUGAGUAAGUAGAAACAUGUACAAGUAAGAAUGCAAGUGCCAUAGUCUAGAUCUUAUACUCACUAAUGAAUAAAGAGUUUAUUGCAUAGUAUAAGUGAUAAAAAGAGUUUUGGUGGCUUUUGAAUAAGUAGUCGAAGGCAAAAAAAUACUAGGGAGUCAAAAUUUUCAAAUUUAAAGUAAAAAAUUAAGCAAAUAUAGUAUGGUUGGAUAACCAAGGUUCUAUUAUAAAAAAUUACAGAUAUCAUAAUAAGAAUCUUCACUUAAAUGCUUCAAAUUGGUUUUAACUGUAAUUCAAAGAUUAGGCCUCAAAGUAGUACUAUUGUACAUACAACAUGACUCAAUUUCAUUGUGGCAUUAUGUUGUGUUGUUAUUGCAUUAUUAAAAAAUAAUAUAAGAUUUUUGCAUGGCUUGCUCUAGAAAGCAAGGAUGUAUACAUCUUCUUUUGAAGUUGUAAAGAUGUCCAAUAUUCACUUAAUAUUUUGUCAUUAAAAUCAAAAAAAUAGAAGACCUAAUCAAAGUGCUAAAGGAAGAAAAUAGUAAGAAAGAAGCACACUACUCACUAUUAGGAUCUAAAGUUCAAUCAAGCAUAAUGGAUACAUAGAAAAAAAAGUUGUGUAUCCAAAUUUAUUUUUUUCUUGAUUUGACAAAAUUAAUUGUCAUAAGAAUAAACUUAUGUCUUUCUUAGAUGUUUUGGCCUUAAAAUUUUAUUGUUUGAAAGGAUCUUGUUUUUACAAAUAUUAAUAUAAUAAAAGAUAACUAUAAUAUUUAAAUUAUUCAUUAAUAGUAAUUGAAUUAAAUUUGAUAAAAGAUAAUAGUUUGGCCAAAUAUUAAGUCAUAUUAUAUGUAAAGAAUAUAAGUCACUAUAGUAUCAAUAAGUGUUAUUAAUUAGUUUUAAAUUGACAAAUCAACUUGUUAGGUUGAAUUAAUUGUCUUAAGUUUUUGAUUUUUAUAAUUUUUUUAUUUUAUAGUCUAUUUCUAUGAGGAUAAAAUUCACUCCUCAAUCUAAAUUACAAGAUGGGCUUGAUUAAAGAUUGCUUGUAAUUUGAGGUACAAAGAAAAAGAAGAAAAUAACAAGAAAUAGAGAAAAAAAAAUACAAAAAAACUAAAAGAAUUAUAAUCCAGAAAUUACAUAUUAUAAAGUACUUACAAUAAAUUUAUUAAAUUUUUAUAUAAUAAAAAAUUAAAAAUAAUAGAUAAAUAUAUAUAUUUAGAUAAAUUAUUUUAUUAUAUUUUUAAUAUCAUAAGAAAUAUAUAAAUUUGAGUUAUUAUUAAUAAAUUAUAAAAUUUUAAAAAUAAAAAUAUAUAAAUAUUAAAUAAAUAUAUUUUACUUCAAACAUAAUUUACUUAAGAGGUCAAAGAAUUGAGCUUCAUCAAGGUUGAUAAGUAAUGUAUAAGGAAUUUUUAGAGAUUUCAAAAGGCCUUAGACUUAUCUUCCUACCUAUAUUGAGGAUGCUACAAUCCAUAUGAGACUUGUACACUUUUCUUUCUAUAAGAACUAUACUAGCUACUUGUCCUCUUAUUUUGUACUAGUAAAUUUAUAUAUAUAUAUAUAUAUAUAUAUAUAUAUAUAUAUAUUUUAAAUUAACCAUAGUAUUUAAAAAUAUCCUAUUAGCAUAAGAACCAUGAAAGGCCUUCAAAUCUUUUACUAUUUCUUCACAAUAUUCUCUCAAUGCAAUAAGAAUCAUUUUUAUCAAAGUUUUAAAAACAUUGCAAAAAAUUUCUUUAAAAAAUCUAAAUAAAUUUUUAUUUAUUUUAUUUUUUCAUAAAAAUAAAUUUAAUUUUUACUAAUUUUUUUAUAUUGGUGAUUUUUUAUAGUUAUUAAAUAAAAUUAAAUCAACAAAAUAUUUGAUUUUCUAUACGAUAAAUUAUAAAGAUAAGAGAUUCUUAUUUAUCCUUUUUUUAUCUAUUAAAUAAUAUUUAAAUGUAUAUUUUUAAAGUAAUACAUGUGGAUAAAAGGUUAAUAUAGACAUUGGUUUGAAUACUUGAAUAAUAUUUUUGAUAAUUUAAAAAAUACUAAUUUAAUUAAGAUAAUUAUUUUUUAAACUUAUUAAGACUUUAUUAUAAUAAUUUUUUUUCUAAUAAGACUCUUGUAACUUAUAAACACUCUUAAAUUCUAAUGAGUACUUAAAUAAAAAAUUAAAAAAAGACUUUAUAAUAUUAAUAUUUUAUAUCUAAAUAACUUAAAGUUAUAUUAUAAAUAAUUCUAUCAAAUAAAAUCCAUCAAUAAAUCUUACAACCUCUUUGUGUUUAAAUCUGUAGAAAUAUUAGUUGUAUUCAAUUAGAAGAAAUGACCUAAUUCAAAAAGCAUUAGAAUUAACAUUAAUUGCUAAUUUAACCUUUUUUGAUGAAGUUCAUCAAAGCAUAUCCUUAGAUCUUCUUGUUCAUGAUAAUAAAAAUAAUUCUUUAAAAUUUUCUAAUUGUACAUUAUUUAGUUAAGAUAAACAAAAAUUUCUUAUUAUAGAAUUCAUAGACUUUUUUUUAGAUAUUAUCUAUUUCUAAACAACCAUGGUCUUAUGUUUCUAAAUAUUUUAAUUUAAAUCUUUUAAUCUCAAGAUCUUAUAAUUCUGUAUUUGUAAUAGUAAAUUGCUCCAUUAAAAUAAAAUAGUUUUUAUCAUAUAUAAAAAAUACCAAAUAUAAAGAAAUAACUAAACUCUUUCUAGACAAUAUCUAUCUCUAUCAUGAACUACCUAAAGAUGUUAUUUUAGAUAGAGGGAUUCAAUUUGAAUCUAUAUAUUAUAAUUUAUUUUUUUAGGAUAUAAAAGAUUAAUAUAAAAUGAUAUUUAACUUUCUAUUUUUAAACUAUUAGACAAACAUAGCUAAUAAAUAAAAAGUUGGAAUAAUAUUUUUAAUUUACUAUUGACUACUAUCAAAAUAAUAGGACAAUUCUUUUGUCAAUAGCAAUGUUUUUCUAUAAUAGCAUAGUAUUGUAUUAUAUAUUUUUUUAUAUAAGAACGCAUCAAGCAUAUAUUUGUAGAAGAUAACUUUUAUUUUGUAACAUACUAAGAAUUUUAUAAUUCCAAUAAAAUAUUAAAUAAACCUUAAUUGAACCUCAAAAAUUAUAAUCAAAUCUUAAUUGAAUCCAAUAUAUUCUUUAAAAAAAUCUUUAAAAAAAUAUAAAAAAUAUUAAAAUAAAAUUCUUAAAAAUUCUUAAAAAACUUUAAAAUUCUAAAUUUUCAAAAAUUAUAAUGAAAUCCUAAUAAAUUCCUAAGUAAAUCCUAAAAAUAAUCUAAAUAAUUUUUAAAUAAAUAUUAACUGAAUUCUAGGCAAAACUUAUUAAUUUUAAUAAAAUUAUAAAUAAAUCUUGUAAAAAUAUAAUAAAAUUUUAAUUUUAAUUUUAAAAAUAUUUAUUAAUUUUUAAUAAAAUACUAUAAAAUUCAUAAAAAAAUGCUUAAUCAAAUAUUCAAAAUUCCUAAUAGAAUGCUAUACUGAUUUUAAAAUCUCAAUAAUGAUAAAAUAAGUAAUUUAUUUUUCUUUAGAAUUAUUAAAAACUUCAAUCUAAUGGUUAAUAUCAAGCACAAAUUAAUUAAAAGAAUCCAACUUACAGAUUAGAAAAAAAAAAACUCCUAAUUUGCUUGGAUGUUGGCCAUCUUCUUCUUCUAACCUUGAUGUUAAUCCAUUAGUAAGUGUAUCUCUUUAUUGCACCAUUAAAUUUAUUUCAAACUAUACUUAAAUAUUUUUAAAUAAGUUAAUUAUAAGCCUACAAAAAAAUGUCUCAAUCAAACCAAUAGAUUGUAUAAGAUGAAAAAAACUCUUAUUAAUUCAUAUAAUUCAAAUUUUGAGACCUUAAUUCAAUUAAAUCUUAAUAACCUUCAAUCUAAAUGUGCGAUUAAUUAAAAAUUCACAAAAUACAUUUAAAAUAAAAAAAAUUAAAAUUCUAUAAUUUUCACAUAUCAAUCUAUAAAAAUUCUUAUAAAAUUUUCAAAUAUUUAUUUUUAAAAAUUAUAAAAAUCAAAUCACUUAAAAUAUAUUUUAUUUUAAAAAGUCCUUAAAAAUUUUAAAUCAAUUUUAAUCACCCAAAAUUCAAUGCUUUGAUUUUUUUUAAAGCUUGAUUUUUAUUUUUCUCUUAUCAUUAAAAAAACCAUAGAACCACCAUGUGUGCAUAGUUUUGUGCCUUGAUAUCUGGUUUUAACUUUGAUUUACAAUUAGCACUCUUUGAAUUUGAAUUUAUAGCUUUUUAAGGUAUUUUUUUUUAAAAUUUUUUUAACUUACUUCUAAAGAUUCUUACAUUAUUUUUUUUUUGAUUUUUUUUUCUUUCUUUAUAGUUCUACAAAAUAAAUAAAAGCUUUUUAAAAAAAAACCAGCCGUAUUAACACUAAAUGUAUUUACUACCUUUUUAACUUUUACUCCUAUUUUUCUAAAUUAAUAUUUAUAUUUUUCUAUUAACCUUAAAAUCAUAUUAAAACAUAAAGAUAGUAUAUAGUUUUACUCAAAAAUUAUCUUUUAAUGCUAACCAUGAUUAUUAUCUAUAAUUUGAUACUUUUGACUUUUCAAAAGUUAAUAAUCUUACAACACAUGAUUUGAAAAAUUGAUUAUAAGAUCUAUCUAAGAUAAUAAGUAUAAAUUUAGAAGAAGCUUAAAAAAAAAUAAAAAUAAAAAUAAUCAAUACAAUUAUCUAUUACAAAAGAAAAUUUCAAUUCAAUGCUAGUGGCAAGAUAUUGUUAUUUUUUUGUAAUUUUAAAAAUAUUUUUGUAUGUAAAAAGUUGAAUUAUUAAAGACUUAUUUUUUAUAUUUUUUGUAAAUAAAUAAAUUUGAUUGCAUAUCAAUUACACCUAUCAAAAUCUAUAUAGAUCCAUUUAUCUUUCUUUGUGUAUCUUCUUGAGCCAUUCAAAAAAAUGAAUACAUUAAGAAUAAGAUAAUUGUUAUAUCUUUCUAUAGAAUUAAACCUACCAAAAUCUAUAUAGAUCCAUUUAUCUUUCUUUGUAUCUCUUCUUGAGCCAUUCAAAAAAAUGAAUAUAUUAAGAAUAAGAUAAUUAUUACAUCUUUCUAUAGAAUUAAAUAACAAUCAAGAUUUUAAAUUAGAAGAAAUAUUAGACUUGAGGAGGCAUCAAAAUAGGUUAGAAUAUCCUAUAGUUUAAUGUAAAUAUGAUAUUUGUGAAUACACAUGAGCCAUCUAAGAACCUUGCAAAUGCAAUACAAAAGGUUGGUAUUUUUUUAUUAAUAAAUUCCAUCAAAACCAAGAUAAAGAGAUAAGAUAUCUUUUCUUAUAGUAUAAAAGAGGUUCAAUAGAAAAUCCGUUCUAUCUUCUAUCUUUGUUUGAAGUUUCUUUGAAUUUGUAAUAAAGAAUAAAAAACCAAAAAAAUUGUUAUAAAAACUAUUCUUUGUUAAAUUCUUAAACAAGCUAUUGAGAUUGUCACAACUUUUAUGAUAAUAUAAUAGGUAUUAGACCUUCAAAAAUAACACUUUCUUCCUUGAUACAAUAUGUUUGAUAUCAUAACCUUAAAAGAGACUAUCAAUGUUUGAUGAUAUUUUCAAAGAUAAGAACCAAUCUUAAUAAUAUUUAAAAUACUUUAUUUGAAAGAAUUUAUGAAGGUCUUAAUGAUAAUCAAAUAAUAGUGUGAUCUUUUUAUCUUAAUAUGAAAUAUUAUUAAUAAUUGAGAGAAUCUUACAAAGUAAAUUUAAUUAGAACAAUUAUUAAAUUAUGUGGCAAAAUAAUUUUGUGUCAUCUUAAAUUUCAUCAACAUAUAAUCACCACCCUUCAUAGAAUUCAUCUCUAUAAAAGAGGAUAGUAUCACAAACAUCAAUAUUAAUUAAAGGGAUGGAUAGAGUUAAAUAAAAAUAUGUAAAGAUAGUUUAAUUUCAUAAUAACUUUGUGAAAAGCUUAUUAGAAGCUUUGUAGAUAUAGAUUUAAUUUUACAAUUAUUUUUAAGUGAUUGAUAGAUUGAAUACUUAGUCAACAAGUUGGCUACAUAUUGUACAUAUUGGAAACUUAUAUUGUAAGUUAAACAUGUAUUUUAUAAGUUGGAUAUACAUUAAAUGACCUAUAGGACGUCACUACAAAUUUAUUUAGUUAAAUUAUAUAUAUAUAGAGGCAAAAGUGAGGUCUUUAUCACUCUUAUCAAUGUCUUUUUUGUUUUUAGUUUAGUUUCAAGAGCUCUAGUUUUAUUAUCUUUGACAAUUGUUAUUUUAGAUUUGUUGUGAGAUAUAUAUAUAUAAUUUUUGAUAUAGUUUUUAAUUUAUUUUAUUUAUCUUGCUUUAAAUUUUCAUUUUUAAUAAUAUUUUUAUCUUAGAAAGUAAUUGAAAUAUUUAUAAGUCCAAAAUUCAUAACAUGAUAUUUUAGUUGGCCAUACUUAGUACAAAAUAUAUUCUUUAAUUCAUCUCAUAUAUUAAUUUAUACAACAUUUUAGGCUCUUUCUAAAUCUAUUUUUAUAUAGAUCUUAGCUUCACUUAUUUGAAUAAAUAUUAUUUUAUUUUAAAAACAAGAAAUAUCAAAUAGUAAUAGAAAUUAUGUUGAGACAAUAAUUUUUUUUAUACUUUUGUAAAGAUUUGUCUUUUUUCUUCACCAAGAAGAUGGAUGCACUUUGAAUGGAUUUUGAGUAUUAAAUAAAAAAUAGUAUUUUAUAAGUAUUUUUAUUAAUAAAAAAAUUUAUUUAAAAAAAUAUAUAUUUACAAUAAGUUGUAAAUAGGUCUAAAUGGUGGAUGAGCUCUUGUUUAAAAAUGAAUUGAGCAAUCUUAAAGAUUACAUUUUAGUAAUAUAUCAAACUUCUCCUUUAUAAUAUCUCUUAGUAUUCUACAUAUUGUUUUAUAAUUCUAUUACAACCUUCAUUAGAAUGAAGACUUAGUGCUACAAAAGAAUGAGAAAUUAAUUAAUAUUUUUCAACUUGCAUAAUUGUUUUAGCUUCAAAAAAUUAAGUUUGUAAUUAUUUGCUAAUAUUCAGAUUAAAUUUUAAUAAGAAUUAUUGUAAUUUCUCUAUGAUUGAAGAUAAUAUAAUUCAAACCAAAAAAUACCAAUAAACACCAGAUUUGAAUAACAUUCAAUGGUGAAGACAAUGUUGAAUACAUAAUCUUCUAACGCUACUUUAAAUGGCUUUGUCUCUUCUAUAAUAUCUUUAAAUUCAAGUAAAUAUCUAUCUAUAAUCUCAACUAAAGUUGGUUAAAUCUUCUUUAAGAUUAUAAAUUUUAUUAUAUUAGAAAGUCUUUAUGUAUAAAAUACAUUAAGACCUUGGUGUCUAAAAAUGUCACAAACAUACAAGGAAGAUUUUAGAACCUUUCAAAAAUCUUCCACAUCAUAAUAGUUUUUUUUUUUUAAUAUUUUAAGAUCUUUGUAGAAAUAUGUAGUAGGUAGCUUAGAAACUAACCUUUAUUAGAUGGCAUCUUAAAAAACUUCUAAAAUAGCUCAAAAAUUAAGAUAUGUGAUUUAACUUGACCACAAGUCUUUUUAGAAUGCUUCUUCAGACUUGACAAAUAAAUCAUCUAUUAGCUUGUGUGGCAAGGCAUAAGAAGCUUAGACUUCAAGUGUUAGAUCUUGCAUGUAGUAUAAAUAGAGAGAAGAUUGAGGCUUUCAACGGUCUUGUCAAUUCAUUUCUUAAAAUUAUACUUUUUGUUGCUUUCAGGCUUGCUUGUUUAUAAAAUUGACCAUUGAUUAUUGUCUUCUUGGUUGUCUAUUUUUUUUAUACACAUCUUAGUCUUCAAUGCUUAAAACUAUUUCUUCUUGAUUAAAUUUUAAGAUAUCUCCUUAACAAAAUAAAUUGACUUAAAAUUUUAUAAUUUAAAAUAUUAAUCAUUAUAAAAAAAAUUAAAAUAAGAUAUAGGAUCUAAUGGUUAAACUUUAUUUAUAGAUCACAAAUUAUAAAAAAGAAUUUAAAAGUUUAAAUUUUAAUAAGAAUACUAUUUUACAUAGAAGAAUAAACACACAAAACUACUCAGAAUAUGUAUUCAAAAAAUAUUGUAGCUCUUUCUUUUUUACUUAAUCAUAGUCAUGGCCAAUGCCUAUAUAUAAAUUUUAAUAUAAUAUAAGAUUAUAACUAGAUAUAUAUAUAUAUAUAUAUAUAUAUAUACAUAAAUUGCACUUUCACAAAUGCUUUUAAAUUUAUAACUAAAUCUGUGUUUAUUAUAUUUAAUACUUAACUGAUAUUUUAUUUUUAAAUUUAAUUUUUAAAAGAAAUUGUCUUUCAAUGACAUAAUAGAAAAUAUUUAAAAUUAUUUUUAAAAAAUCCUAUUCCAAAAAAAUAUUUAUUUAAUUAAUAUCUAUUAUUAUUUUAGGUAUUAAUCUACUUACAAGUUUAUGCACUUGUAACUUUUACAUUUUUUUUCUUCUUAUAUUGUGUAAUAAGUCAAAUAAACUAUUAUCAAAAAAAGAAUGUGAAAUAACUUAUUUAAGUAGAUUUUAAGUAGCAUUUUAGAAAUUUAUUUAAGUAGAUUUUGUAGUAGCAUUUUAGAAAUUUUGGUCUUUGAUAAAUGGUUGUUUAAUUUCUUCAUUGAUUUUAAUGUUUUUCUAAAACAAUCUUGUUAUUGUUUUAACAGUUAUCUUCUAAAUUUUGUUUUUUGUAUUUCUAUUUUUUGUUACUAUACCUCAUAGAAUGAGAAAUGUUUUCAAAAAUACUUUUGUGACUUUAAAAAUAAUUAGAAAUCGAGUUACACACUGUGGACCGUAUUCUUCAGUAAAAAGAAUGCUACACAGAAUGUUAAUUAAUUAAGUAUGGCAAAAGUUCAUAAUAUACACACAAUGGUGGAUAUUUUCUUCACUUCAAUACUGUAUAAGUAUCUAAGAAACAGUUGUUUUUGGGAGGUUAGGAUUGAAACUUUAUAACUAAUAUCUUCUGUUAUUUUACUUUAUUGUUUGUUUAGGCUGAGGUGACAAUAAAAAUUGGUGAGGUGACGAUGACUACAAAAGACUUGUUUAGUAUAAAAAUAACGUAAAAAAUUGAGUGCUCUUAAUUUAUUAGUGUCAACUUAAAGUUAAUCUUAAGAUAAUUGUCUUCACCAUGCAUUGGGAAUGGUAGUUGCACCACUAGAUGAUAUCUAAUUAGAUGAAAAAAGUAAAAUAGUGUUUCUCUAAGACCCCAAGUAUGAAUGGACUCUAGCAUCUAUUUUUGGCAUGUUCUUUUGUGUAAUUCUUGUUAUCUUAAUUGUCAAAUUUGUAAAUUAACGGCUGUUUGUUAACCUUGUCUGUAUGUAGCACGUAGAGAAUUAGUACCUACUAACAAAUGCUGAAAAAUGGAAGUGGCAUUUUCAACAACUAUGACAAAUGUGCUGUAAGCACUGAAUUUGAUAAUAAAUUUCAUUUUGACCCAAAUUUACACGACACAAAAUUACAUAUUAUAAAACUUACAAUCAAACAUUUUUUUAAAAAUAAUUAUUCCGUCCAUUUGCGAAGUUUGAAAAUUUCAACUUACCAGCUAGCAUCUGGGCAAUUUCGUACAUUCUUAUUUUAAUCCUAUAGUAAGAAUGUAUGCCCAAAUUUACUCCACAUUAUAAUUAAUACAAGGAGGAGGAAGGAGCUCGGAGGAGGUGGGGAAGUUGCCUAAGGGGGGAGGGAGACGGUGUGAUGGAGAGGGGUCGGAGCAACGCAAUUCAGCGCAACGCAAUGCAGCUCAACGCAACGCAACACACGCGAAAGAACGGCCUAGUGGCAAAGGUAGGACGGACUGACGGACGGACACAGGGCGAGAGUGGUCAUAUGCCGAGGAUGUCCGCUUGGGCCCAAGGAUGGAGGGCAACAGAUGAGCGUGCAAGCCGAAAUUUGCAGUAGCAGCCUUGUGGACUGAGGAGGCGGAGGCGGAGGCGGAGGAAUUUGAUGCCCACAGAUGGCCACGACAUUCACUCACCCCACUUUCCCCCCUCUCCCAAUCUCUCCCUUACUGCAGGACGAGUGCGCAGAACAAGACGACAGGGGGGACGUAGCGCACGGCCAAAUGGAGAGGCGGAAGGAGAAGAGAGAGGGCUAAGCCCUGGGUGAAGAAGGGAGAAGGGGAUCAAGAGCCACACCCGGAUUCGACAGGACCAGCGAGCGCCAGCCAUCGCACAGUGGCACUCCUGACACAGGAACAGGACCCUGUGGGAACGGAGCGGAGGGGAGGGUGGGUCCCACGCUCGUCCAGGAGGAGGAGGAGGAGCAGGAGAAGGUCAGCCCUUUCAUCCAUCCAUAUACCAUCUAUUUAUGAACCCGAACAUUCAUCUACACUCCCCCCCCACCCCUCUCACCCAUUCGACCAUCCAUUGGCGUCCAUGGGAGCGACCAGAGCACGAGGGGGAGGACGGCCCUGGAUGCGAGGCGGCUGGAGGUGCCGGCAUCAUCUGCUCGCAUCCAGACCGCCAUCGUUAGAAAAAAUCGGGGCACGCGAUGACGACUAGGCUGGGCACAGCCUGACCGACCCCAUGCAACUUGUGUCGUCAAGUCUCCUGGUGCUGCUGGGUAUAAAUUUAAUGAAUGAACACUCCACCAUCUUCCCCCCUACUGUGCUCCGCUCUGCAACCCCCCUCUCGUUUCUACACGAGCACAUCUGUGCACAUCUAUGCCCCCUACUGAGUGACCCUGGCCCACCACGCACACACAUGUUGUCUAUGCGUUCUGAUACGCUAUCUCCUGUGAUGGUUAUUCAGUACUCUAGCGGUCUAGCCUAGGGACCUACCUAGGGUGGUGCUGGAAGAUGAGAUAGGAGACCCUAGCAGACACACUCCUUUACCCCCCUCCCUGGUGCUGCUGUACAACAGGACGAGGACCAGGACGAGUCAUCCCAUCAACAAGAGGGUUUCACGCUGCCUCAGGAACCCGCAGUUACUCAACUUAUUAUCAUAAUAUUGUCAUUGUAGUAUUGUUGGCAGCCAAUCAAGAGUGUUACUCCUUUCCUGCCCUCUGUGUGUCCCCCCCCCCCCCCCCCCUGCAUAUCUUCCUCCUCUUUCCUCCUCCCCCUCCUCCUCUUCCUAUCUGCAAGGAUUCGUUCGCAGGCUCCGAGUCAUUCCUCUCCUUCCUCGCACAUCAUUCAAUUCCCAACACCACCAUCAUUAAUCUUAUGCUUUGUGUUGCCUUUGCCUUCUACUUUCUUCUUCUCUGCCUGCCUCGCUCUUCACCACCCCACCCUUCGCCCCUCCAUAUCUACCGGACAUUCAAACUUCUCUCCCUCCCUCUCCCCUCAUUGUCAGUCUAGUAUAAUGAUCCUGAAGUAAUUUAGCGCCGUCCAAACAUGUGAUGGAACUACCAGUGUGUUGCUUCUAGCAGGGAUAUAACACCCACUAUCAUCACCUGCAGGGGGGAGGACGCAGUAUUGUGAUUUUUGCGUUGUUGUCGUUGUUGUCGUUGUUGUCGUUGUUGCGGUGGUGUUUUUCGAUACUUACGGGGUUGUUGUUGCUGGCCUCGGUGCGUCGAGCUGCCUGGUUUAGUGACUUUCGGAGCACCCGCGUGAGCAUAUUGGAGUGUAAGUGGUAAAGCUGCUGCUGAGAAGAUGCCAGGAAAGCUCCAGACUGUCACUGGAGGGUGGUCCCUUGGCCGCAGUCUUGGAGGUUGGACAAGCACAGAGUCUUGGGGGGAAAGAGCAAGAGUUCGAGAGGUGGGGAUUUAGCUCAACUGUCAACUGGUAAUCUAGCUCAUCCGAACGUACUCUUCGUUUGCACCAGUUUCUAAAUAGUGGAGCGUACUACAUUUUAAGGGCGUGUCGGAUUGUUUGACAAUUCUACGGAGAUUCACAGGUACGGGCCCACAUACAUUGGCAGCAUAAGUUUCAAGAGAUACAGCAGUACAUAAUUGAGAUUUGCUGAGGAGGAGGGCGAGUAAUAGUAUGCAAGAUGUCGACCCCCAAGUUGGCUUACUCGUCAGGGAGUUCUGUGAAGUCAAAGCAUAGUGUCCGGGUGGCGCAAACUACGGCAGAUGCCAAACUGCAGGCUGUGUACGAAGAAUCUGGAGAUUCAGGAGAUUCAUUUGAUUACUCUAAAUCAGUUCAUGCGUCUAAAUCCACGGGUGAGAAUGUUUCUGCUCAAGCAGUUACCGCAUACCUUCAGCGUAUGCAAAGAGGGGGUCUGAUGCAGACUUUCGGGUGUAUGUUAUGCGUGGAAGAGAGUAAUUUUAGGGUUAUUGCCUUCAGUGAGAAUGCCCCAGAGAUGCUUGAUUUGAUGCCACAAGCUGUGCCAAGUGUGGGCCAACAGGAAGUUCUGGGCAUUGGAACGGAUGCCAGAACUUUGUUCACCCCUUCCAGCGCCGCUGCCUUGGAGAAGUGCGCAGGAGCUGUGGAUGUGACUAUGCUGAACCCUAUCUCAGUGCACUGUCGAAGCUCGGGGAAGCCGUUCUAUGCAAUUCUGCACCGUAUCGAUGUGGGACUGGUGAUCGAUUUUGAGCCAGUGCGGUCGAACGAUGCCAUUGUGUCCUCCGCUGGGGUGUUACAGUCGCAUAAGUUGGCUGCAAAGGCGAUUUCUCGGCUGCAGGCACUUCCUGGCGGAGAUAUUGGUCUGCUUUGUGAUAUUGUUGUUCAGGAAGUGCGCGAGCUUUCAGGCUACGAUCGUGUUAUGGCUUACAAAUUCCACGAAGACGAACACGGUGAGGUCUUAGCAGAAAUUCGGAGAUCAGAUUUAGAACCUUACUUGGGCUUACAUUACCCAGCAACAGAUAUCCCACAGGCAUCAAGAUUCCUGUUUAUGAAAAAUAAAGUUCGAAUGAUUGGUGAUUGCUUUGCUUCUCCUGUGAAAGUGAUUCAGGACAAGGAUUUGAGGCAGCCUAUCAGUCUUGCGGGAUCUACAUUACGCGCUCCUCACGGUUGCCAUGCGCAGUAUAUGGGUAAUAUGAACUCUAUUGCUUCCUUAGUGAUGGCUGUGAUUGUGAAUGACCCUGACGAGGAUCCUAAUGCACGCGGGGGUCAGCAAAGAGGGCGCAAGCUCUGGGGAUUGGUAGUUUGUCACCACACGUCUCCGAGGACCGUCUCUUUUCCCUUGAGAUCGGCUUGUGAGUUCUUAAUGCAGGUAUUUGGUUUGCAGCUGAAUAUGGAGGUUGAGCUUGCAGCUCAGCUAAGAGAGAAGCAUAUUUUGAGAACUCAAACCCUCCUCUGUGAUAUGUUGUUGCGGGAUGCACCUAUAGGAAUCGUAUCCCAAUCACCCAAUAUCAUGGAUUUGGUCAAAUGCGACGGUGCAGCACUGUACUAUGGGAAACGGUUUUGGCUCUUGGGAAUUACACCUAACGAUGCUCAGAUUAAGGAAAUUGCUGAUUGGCUCUUGGAACAUCAUCAGGAUUCGACCGGUUUGAGUACAGACAGUCUGGCCGAUGCAGGUUACCCUGGCGCUGCGCAGCUUGGUGAUGCUGUGUGUGGAAUGGCAGCAGCGAAGAUUACCUCUAAAGACUUUCUUUUCUGGUUCAGGUACUUGUUGAUAUUCACAUUAUUCUGUGAUAUUUGUAAUUCAAUGUUUUGUUUCUUGCAGUCAAUGAAUUCACAGUCAAUUAAGAUGAUGUCAACGUUGUCAGCUGCAAUUGAAAUUUACACCAGUUGAACGCAGCUCUAUUGGUCGCAAUCUUCAGUCUAGUUCAAUUGAUGUACAGCUGUUGGUCCAGGUCACAAAGGUCGUAUGGAUAAGUCUGUUUUUGAAUUAGUGUUGAUCAUCUAAAUAGAACAAUGGAGAACCGUCGCAAGUCCAAAGAUCUCUGUUCUCCUUUGAAUCUGGUUUGGUACGUGUGCUCUUUUUUAGGUCGCACACCGCCAAGGAGAUCAAAUGGGGAGGUGCCAAGCACGAUCCUGAUGAGAAGGAUGACGGCCGAAAAAUGCAUCCCCGGUCUUCGUUUAAGGCCUUUCUAGUAGUUGUGAAGAGAAGAAGUUUACCAUGGGAAGACAUAGAAAUGGACGCAAUUCACUCUCUUCAACUCAUUUUGAGAGGUUCAUUUCAGGAUAUUGACGAUAGUGACACCAAAACUAUGAUACAUGCCCGACUGAAUGACUUGAAGCUCCAGGGCAUGGAUGAGCUCAGCACAGUCGCUAAUGAAAUGGUUAGAUUGAUAGAGACAGCGACCGCACCUAUUCUCGCUGUGGACUCAGGUGGAUUCAUUAAUGGUUGGAACGCCAAAGUAGCUGAACUAACAGGGCUUCCAGUCGAAGAAGCCAUGGGUCGGUCGCUGGUAAAGGAUUUAAUUUUAAAUGAAUCAAUCGAUGUCGUGCAGCGGCUUCUCCACCUCGCACUACAAGGUAAUAGCUAGCGCUCAUUUGUUCGUCAUUUUAACUUUGGGCACGCAUACUUCUCUGCUCUACGCAGCUCCUAAGAUUGUGUAGGUCAUUAUCCUGGUAGUCCCUAAUGUCUCUAACCGCAAUAAUCCUUAGUCUCAAACGCACAACGUUUCUAUUGAGUAGUUCAUCUGUCAAAUUUGGCAGUUAGGUUGUGUACCCAAAGAACCACGUUUUUAGCCCAUCACAUCCCCCCCCCACACACUCCCUCCUUCCACGUGUCUUUCUCGUACUCAUGCACGUGCUUGUUUAUUAUGUUUUAGUUGCGGAUUAACUAAUUUUGAUUGUCUGAGUAGCGGGACCAAUGUGUUCAGCUUCUUAAUAAUCGUCACAUACUUAUUGAUUGGUUGCCGUGCUCAUCAUUUGCAGGUGACGAAGAACAAAACAUUGAGAUUCAAUUGAAGACCUUCGGUCCACAAAAAGAGAAAGGCGCGGUGAUUUUGAUAGUGAAUGCUUGCUCUAGUAGAGAUGUUCAAGACAAUGUGGUCGGAGUAUGUUUUGUUGGACAGGAUGUGACAGGUCAAAAACAGGUUUUGGAUAAAUUCACUCGGAUACAAGGGGACUAUAAGGCUAUAGUUCAGAAUCCGAACCCUCUGAUCCCUCCCAUAUUCGGUACUGAUGAGUAUGGAUACUGUUCUGAGUGGAAUCCUUCAAUGGAAAAGCUUACUGGAUGGAAGAGAGAAGAGGUAGGUUUACUAUUUCUUUUCUUGUUUGGUCUUCAUCUAUUGGUUUGAUACUGCAAUUCGUGUAUAUUACUGUUUUCAAUGUAUAUAUGGUACUUACGUUCAGUUCAAGUAAUUUUGCCAGUAACUGAUAGUCGUGUCGCUAAUUUAUUUACAUUGUAAUGCAGGUGAUUGGAAAACUGCUAGUUGGCGAAAUUUUUGGUAUUCAACUUAUGUGUUGCCGACUCAAGAGCCAAGAUGCAAUGACGAAAUUCAUGAUUGUACUAAAUGGUGCCAUGGACGGUCAAGACACAGAUCGAUUUCCCUUCUCCUUUUUUGAUAGACAAGGGAAGUACGUGGAUCCCUUACUCACAGUGAACAAGAGAACUGAUGCAGAAGGAAGCAUCACUGGCGUAUUUUGCUUUUUGCACACAACCAGUGUGGAAUUGUUACAAGUAAGACCUCAAAUUUCCGUUGAAAACUCGCUGCAAUGUUAUCACUUCAGAACAGGAUAUUGAACGGUUGCGAUUCGAGCCAGAAUGGAUUUCUUGUGUCAAGUUUUUCUUUAUCGCAAAUAUUGAAAUGUUCUUGUGAAUCCAUCCUCAUUUCAAUUGGUAUCUUCUUGGAUUUUGAGAAGGUCUGUAAAUAUCGUCCGUGAAGCUCAAAUUGAAUGUAAGAGUGUUAAUUUCUCAGUAGGAUAUAGAACUUAUCUAUGAUUGUCAACACAUGUAUAAUACUUAAAUAUUUAUUCUUGUAAUUUCUAUUUUUUCUGUUAAUACUUUUCAAAUUUAUUUUUACUUUGCCUUAGUGAAGGCUUUUUAAUAAAAAAAUUAUCCCACAGUUCAUCAUUUAUUUUCGUCUUCAGAUUUCCUUUUCAUUUUCCUCUGCUCGCAACUAGUGUUGUGGUGCGGGAUGAGAUCAAUGUUGUUUGUAACCGAGAUCGUAGGAGUAGACUGGUUUGGCUUUGGAGUUGAAGUGACCCAUGACUUUGUACGCAGGCAUUGACUGUUCAACGUUCGACUGAGAAAGUUGCUUUCGCAAAACUCAAGGAAUUGGCUUACAUUCGACAGGAGAUCAAGAAUCCUUUGUAUGGUAUAGUAUUCACACGUAAUUUGAUGGAAGACACAGAUUUGUCUGUAGACCAAAGGCAAUUCGUGGAGACUAGCGCGGUCUGUGAACGUCAACUGCGCAAAAUAUUGGAUGAUUUGGAUCUUGAGAGUAUCGAGGACGGGUAAGCUCUUAAUCUUGCUCUUCUUCUGCUCCUCUUCUGCCAGUAUUGAUCUUUUUGAAUAGCAGUCGGUCUAUUUGAUGUGAUUCUCUGACAUGUACGCGUGUUGCAUUUUGUAUAUAUCUCUGUAUCACGAGGCUUGUCAAGUCAACUUGUUAUUCAACUGUAUUUGUUAUGAGAAACUGUUAUGAAAAGCAGAUUGGUUUGUCAAGCUUACAGCUUGAUAGUGUCUGAAAUGUUUAUUCCCUUUUUUGUUCUGCAUUGAACAGUUACUUAGAGCUGGAUACAACUGAGUUUGAGAUGGGAACAGUGAUGGACGCUGUUGUCAGCCAAGGAAUGAUCACAUCAAGAGAAAAGGGUCUUCAAUUAAUCCGGGAGACUCCCAGUGAGAUUAAGAACAUGUGUUUAUAUGGGGACCAAGUCCGGUUACAACAAGUGCUUGCAGACUUUUUGUUAAAUGCUGUGCGAUUCACCCCAUCCUCUGAAGGCUGGGUCGGGAUCAAGGUGGUCCCAACAAAGAAGCGCCUGGGUCGAGGCGUUCAUGUCAUGCACCUAGAAUUCAGGUCUGCAUGCUUUUCAUGAUUUGCUGCUAAUUGCGAAGUUAUUGGAAUUGUUUUUAAUUUUCUGAGGUGAAAGUGUGAUGUACUGUGUUCAACUGAAUGUAGUAUAUUCAGCCUAUUGUUGUUGACUUAACAGUUUUUAAUACCAGUGUUUUGUUUUUUAGAGUUACACAUCCUGGACUGGGUCUUCCUGAAGAGCUGGUUCAUGAAAUGUUUGGUCGAGGACGAGGCAUGACUCAAGAAGGCCUGGGUCUGAGUAUGUGUCGUAAACUUGUAAAGCUAAUGAAUGGUACUGUUCAAUAUAUCAGAGAAACAGGUAAGAGCUGCUUUUUAGUUGAAGUAGAGCUUCCCUUGGCACAGAGAGAUGAUGCAGGUAGUGUGAGAUCUACUGUUGUCUAGU